rnacentral:lncRNA from 1 species
GAGUUUGCAUGCUAUGCACGUGCUUGAUCAUGAUUGUGAUCGUGAUCGGGUUUCUGUUUGGAUUCGGUGUUUUCAAGCAUGGAUUUCAUAAAAUCAAAGAUACUGUUAGUUACUGCGACUCUUGCGGCGGUGUUGGCGGUGGAGGAAGGCCUUUCUUAGGUUAUGCGCCGCCGCCAUUGUUCUAGUUCAGUAUUUUUCUCUUAUUAUUCUCUUGUUCCGUUUGUUUUAGGUAAUUUCUAUUUUAUGGUUUAUUAAAAUUCGUAUUUGUAAUUAUCCGUUUAUUUGGAUUUUUAUGAUGAUUUUAUUAAUCAAGUUUCUUUGUUCUAGUGAUUAGUGUUUUAAAUUCUUUAUUCUUAUUCUCAAUCUAAUUCAUUUGAUAAAUGUGGAAUUGUUGGAAUUAUCCCAUCACCGAGUCAGCAUUUUCUUUUUUCAUUAAAAAUAUUUUAGUUGAAGAUUUUAUAUUUAAGAUUAAAAAAAGUUAUGGCUUUAGUUAUAUAAUUUUUAGCUUAUAGAUAUAAGAGUUUGGAACUCAUGACAUUAAAGAGUGGAUUUUAAAUAUUAGUCUAUUUAAAAUUGAUUAAAAAAAUAUGUGUAUUUUUUAAAACAAGAUUUUGUUAUUUAAAAAUAAUUAUUACUUAUGUAUUCUUGAUUUUUUUUAAAAACUUACAUAAAUGUUUUCGUAAGAAUGUAUAAUUCCUCAACUUGAAAAGUGAACGCUAAGCCAUUAAUUUUUUAUUGACUAUUUUUUAUACCUGUGAAUAAUUAUUGAUUUAUUUUAUAUCUAUGAAUAAAAAUUAUUGAUUUUUGUAAUACAAUGAAUGAAUGCCUUAUAUGAAAAUCUUAAUUAUAAGUUCGCGUAAUUUUUCUUUUAAAUUUAAUACUCACAAAAAGCUUUUUGAUUGAUUCAUGAAAAGUUAAAAUCACGAGUUCAUAAAUUUACAAAUUCUUAUCUUAAUCUGACGAUAUUCUUUUUUAAUGGCAAUGAACCUUAUCACCGAGGACUAGUGCUCGAACCUUAGUUUCUAAUUAUUAUUAUUUGUGUAAUGGUAUCAAUUUCAAUAAUGAAAUUUUUAACAAGCAAAAAUUGCAUCCCCACUUUUGAGAACAUAUUCCAUUUUGCAUUGAAAUGUUGAUACUUGGCAAUUGAGAAUGAAUCAAACAAAACAAGAAUCGUGCCCAUCAUGUAAAGUAUGUAACUAAUUUGUGGAGUAGGAUGAAAGACAUUUGGCUUUUGCAUUAAAGUGGGGUUAUCUUGUCAUGUGAUGUGGGCCAAUCACCUAAAUCUUCACAUUUCAUUCUCGUAGAGUUUCACAUUCUUCUCUCUUUCAUUUGUAACUUUUAAAUUAUCAUCAAAAUUUGUAUCAUACAAAUAACUAUAAGUAUAUAUGAAGAAUUUUUUUAUCAAAAUAAUCUAAUUUUUUAAGAAAUCAAAAUAAUCUUGUUUUUAAAAAAAUUUCAAAAGUAUCUCACUUAUAGGAGGAAGCGUCAAUUGAAUUGAUGAUUUCUCUUAAAAAUAUAGUGCAUGCGCCAAUUGGAUUGGCUAGGGCACAUGGUGCAGCCAAUUCAAUUGACACCCAUGUGUAUUUUUUCAAAGGAGACACCAAUUGGAUUGACAUCUCAGUGUAUUAUGCAUUUUUUUUUUGUUAUAAAUAGAGUUGUUGUGUGAAUCAUUUUUCCACAUCUCAUUUCAUCAUUUGGCAAUCAUGUUUGGUGUUCGUCGCCGCUAUGGAAAGGUGAUUUGUGCGAGAGACAAACCUCAGAUGUUGAUGAUCUUCUGGAACAUCACUAUUUUCGAUCAACUGAAGAGGGAGUUGGUUCGUUGGUUAGAUGGGAAAAUACCAGAAGGGAAAAAAAUUAGAAGUAUUGAGAGACUCGACCGUAUCUUUGGUUGGGUGCGAAUGAAAACUGAUAAGGAUGCUAGGGAAAUGAUGUUCGGACGAGAUGACAUUACUUUGAUUGUUGUAAUCAGUUAGAAAUAUUUUGUUUUCAGUUGGCUUAUGUUGUAGUGAUGUUUGUUCUGAACCUCGUUGUAACAAAAACUUAAUGAUAUAUAAAAAUUGAAGGUUACAAAAUACAAUGUUAAAAAAAGAUUAUGACCCAGAUGAUGCUCUUCAAUUGGGACAGUUGUUCUUGUUGUGUCCUGGUUGACGACAGAUACUACAUAGUCUUAUCAUUUUAUCUAUCAUAUCCAUUUCUGUCCUGAUACGUGUGCUGUUUGACAUUCCUUUUUUCUUUCUACGUAUCUCGUCGUUGUGUCAAACUAUGUCACCUUCGUAUAGAGGUCAGUAUUCCUCCAUUGGUAGCACAGAGAAGCUUUUAUUAUAUACAUUCAUGAUAGUGACGGCCUUGUACACAUCAGAUAGAUGGUUGUAAGCGUCUUGGCGAGUAUAUGUGCAUGCUGCAAUGACAUGGGAGCAAGGAAUGCAGAAGGACUGGAAUUUUCCACAGUCGCACCAACUUCUGUUUAGUCUGACAGCAUAGGCUAAAUACGGUCUCCCCUCGUUGUGGUCCAUUGUUUCCUAGACACUGAAAUUUUUCCUAUGACGGUCAAAGACUGUUGCAGCGUGUGUGCUAGCUUUGAUGCUCUCAUCUUUCAUGACUUUCAUGUAACACUCACUGAAAACUUGCCCAGACAUUAACACCGCACUCCAUCUUUCACCCCUGAUUACGAACAUAGAAGUCAACCUAUAAUAGGUUGAUCUGAUCAAGGCGGUUAUUGGCAGAUUUCUAAUGCAUUUGAAUACCCCGUUCAUGCAUUCCACAAGUUUGUUGUCAUGUGCCCCCAUCGACAACCUCCGCCAAAUGCCCUUAUCCACUGCUAUAUUGGUAUGUUAUUCAACCAUCUUCCUGCGUCUUCAUUAGAUAGUCUAAUUUCAUCACGAUAAUAUUAAAGUGACGGUUGAGUUAAAGCAUACCCAACAUUCACCACCUUCUUACGAAGAUUCUUAUCUUUUAUUGCACGCAUGAAGUUUUGUGCAAUAUGUCUAAUGCAAUAGACAUGGGUAAAAGGAGGAUUAUGUCAUUCGUUGUCAUGGUUGUUGUAGGCACUCUCUAUGGCAGCAUGUCUAUUAGAAAUCAAAUAGAGAUUGACUUGUGGAGCCACAUGCGUUCUGAGAUGUCGAAGAAAGAAACCCCAACCACCAGUCAUUUCCCCUUCAACCAGAGCAAAGACAAUGGGAAAGACAUUAUUGUUGCAGUCUUGUGCAACCGCCAUAAGCAAAGUACCCUUGUAUUUUCCGUAUAACCAAGUUCCACCAAUUUGAAUAAUAGGUUUGCAGAAUGCAAAACCUUUGAUGCAUGGGUCAAACGCCCAAAAGAUACGGUGAAAGAUUCAAUUACCUGUAACACAGGUUCCGUUUGGCGUCAUUGCUGGUAAUGUCUCCAUAAUUGUCACUGUUCCUGGGACAUAUGUUUUUAGUGCCCAUAAAAACCGUGAUAAUUCUUUGUAUGAAUCCUCCAAGUUGUCGAAUACCUGUUCAACAGUCUUUGUCUUUGCAAUCCACGCUUUCUUGUAAGAUGGAGUAUAAUUAUAUAUUGUUCUGAUAUGGGAUAUAAUUAUACUCGCCUUCACUGAUGGAUCUUUGUUAACAAGCGGCAGAAUGUCUUGACAUAUCAAUGCAACACUUAAUUUACGGUGAUCUUGUUCAACGUUAGUUGCAAUGCAACUGUGAGGUGGGUCUAUUGAAUCUAUCUCCCAAAAUUCGUUUUUCUUUUUGUAAGAUGCAGCCAACCGAAACUUACAAAGGAUGUUACGACAUUUGAUGACAUACUUUCUCGAAUCAGUGCGUUUUACUGUAAAAUCAGCAGAGUUGUUCAUGCGGAAUUUUUUGAUAGCUCGCACACAUUCUUCUUUAGUGCGGAACAUGUCUCCCACUUUUAACUCGCCUUCUGAUCGUGGAUACGGUUUAUAGAAAAUAUUGUUGGAUGUUUCACCGUCAUGCAAAUCCAUGUUUGUCAUAUGUUGAGACGGAUUGUAGACAUGACUAUGAGGUAUUGGCGUUGGUUGAUCAUCACCUUCAAUAACCUUAUCUCUACCAAACACCCCAACAAUCUUUCCAACCUUUCCUCGACGCAUCAUUCACACCCAUAAGUCAACUACUCUGGCAUGGGUCAUGAACUCAGCUAUGGCGGUACACCUUCGGUGCAUACUCAAGACUAUGCCGAUUUGUCUGACUAUCUCAACAGGCAAUCUCCUGUAGUUGGUAGUGAUGCUCCUGGUCCCUCAGAUGCUCAAACACCAGUGCUGAAUCAUCAACGCGGAUUAGGACCGCGGGUUCGGGUAGCUAGGGGAUGUGGGACCGAAGGUCGGUUAGGUGACCCUCAGAUGCUCUAACUUUAAAUGGACUCUACUAAUGAAAGGGAAAUUGAUCCACUUAGAUUAAUCGUACCGGAUAUCAGAUAAAGUUUUUUAUAAAAAGAUUACUAUAACUAUAUAAAUAAAACACAUCAAUUUAUAAAUUUAUUGAUUGAUGAUGCCAUAACAAGUUUAGCCAAGUGACGUCACUUCUACUUGAGCUUCACUACAAUGGAACUCCUCACUCUAUGUUUCCCAUUUGUCCACAAUAACUCCCCAAAUACAUAUUCCAUUGUAGCAUUACCCUUUUUCAUAGUUUUCCUUACAACAACCUUGAAUGAUCUCUUCUCACCAACUUCCUUGAAGCUCAAGAAACUUGGCACAACAUAAACCGAAACUCCAUCUGGUGCCUUUAUUUGCAGUUCAUAUCUACUCGGAGCUCCGACAUUCGUAACGGUUCGACUAGCAACUACUGCUUUGUGUCCAAGAUCAAGUAUUGUGAUUGUAGGGUAGUUGAAAUCCACCAUAUUGUAGAGCUUUGGACAAAUGAAAUCCCUGUUGUAAAUAGCCUCAACUUGUUUAUGCCAUUGAGCAUCUGAACACAGUAGGUUCAAGUAAUCAACCACUUCAAGAUCGUAAAUUAGUCCCGGGUCUAGAGCAAGUUUGGGUUGGAUGUGACCUGAACCGUAUUCAAAUGGAGUUGCGUUUUCUUCGAAUCGAUCCUGGAUAGGUCUUUUGCUGUUAUCCAUUCCAGUUGCUGAAAUAGACAUAGUUUAGCGUCAACUUAAUUGGAAGAUCACGAGCUACGAGCAAAAAUACGACAUAUUAAGCAACAAUGGAUCAAUGCGUUGAAUGAUCGAGUUAUGCAGUACCAGUGGUCAUGAUUGCGGAUUUGAUAGCUGCUGGACUCCAUUCAGGAUGAAGUGUUUUGAGAAGGCCUACGACGCCAGACACAUGAGGGCAUGACAUAGAAGUUCCAGAUGCGGAUUUGUAUGAAGUCCUUCUUUUAUCUUCAUCUUCACUUGUGGCUUCUGAGUAAGCAGCAAUUAUGUUCACACCAGGUGCAGUGAUGUCAGGCUAGAACACAAGACAAAAAAGAAAAUUGUCACAGUCAUACCGGUUGCAGAAUCGACAUAUAGACUUAAAGUACAUUUUUUCUUAAGUUAUCAUCAGCUCGUAUGUGUCGUGUCUGGUGUCUGUGUUUCAUAUAGUAAUAAAAUUGUGCUAAUUGAAGUUAAAUGUACGCAUCCAUCGCAAAGUUGAUGACCAAGAACAAGGUAACAAACUUUUAGGAUUGAUGGAAGAAUGGUGCUAGGUCCUCUUGAUGAGAACGAAGCAAUCACCGGAGCUGGAAUAAUCGGAGUUUCUGUUACUGCUUUUGUUAUGUAAGCAACAGGGUUCCUGCAAUAUAUAAAGAAACAUCAAUUUCCGCAAACUUUAAUAACAAAAUGGAAACAAAGAUGAAUAUAGAAGAAAGAACAUUACUUUUGACUUCUGAUGUAGGAAUCAAUAUAUUGAGAAUCAGUGUGAUUGACAUAUGAAGUAGGUAAAAUAUGAGGGAUUGCCAUAGCAUCAUAGAAACUAUCAAUUACACUAGUCAAAAUCAUUCCUACUGCUCCUGCAGAAAAAGCUUCUGCACCUGCAGAAAAAGCUCCACUAUAUUCAUCUUCAAGGCAUACCACUAUUUUACCCUUCACUUUUUCAACAUCAAGUGUUCCGAAACGGCAGUGUAUCCUACAAGAGUUCAUAUGAAACAAUCUUCUAAGUACUAAGAAAUUAAAAAUAAAUAAAAAAUCAUUCGCAUUCAUAAUAGAACUCGAAGAAUUUGCACUUACGCAGCUCCAGUUAGAGCAUAGGAAUGUUUUGCAUCUUCUGCAUUAAUCAAAGGAUACAACUUCUGUGAUGGCAAGUCCUUAGGCGAAAGACUUGUUCCCUAACAAUCAUAAAAAGAACCAAAUUCAAGUUCGAUCGCAUGUGAAAAACUUUUUUUACAUGCGCAAUGUAUACAAGAAUCGAGAAUAAUGCAAUACCUUAAGGUACUUGUUGUCACCUAGCUUAACAUAACUGGUGAAGUCUCUAUCGAUUGUGCUAGCAGCAACGGUGAAUAACCAAGGUGCGGUAUUUGAAACAGUUCCGGAAUAAGGUCCAGAGUUUCCGGCAGAAGCAACUACUACUAUGCCAUUGGCAACUGCAUGAAAAGAGCCUAUAGCAAUUGGAUCUGCAAACAGAUUACUAGACUUUGCACCGAGAGAAACUGAAAUCACAUCAACACCAUCACUUAUGGCAGCUUCGAAACCAGCUAAGAUAUCUGCGUCAUUGCAGCCACCCGAAUGUAUGCCUUCUCCUGGCCAACAAACUUUAUAGGCUGCAACACGAGAUUUCGGAGAUCCACCUUUGGCAGUGCCAUUGCCAUUGCCGAAAACACUUACUCCUUGAACAAAAUUACCUCCAGCUGUUGAUAGCGUGUGAGAACCGUGGCCGAUCGUGUCUCGUGCAGUGUAAAAUGAUGCGUUCCGUAUGCCUGCCUGCGCCUCAUAACCUCUGUAGAACAUUCUAGCUCCAAUCAGCUUCCUGCAUUUAUGGAACAAUUACAAAUGUGAAUAGCUUUAAGAAUCAUGCACACACACAGACAAACAUAAAUACCAAAAGACAGACAUGAAACUGACACAUCAACAUCAGUGGUAAUAUGACAAUUUUAUGUAACUGAAUAUCACGACAUGUGUCAGUGCCCGACACCAACAUACCUGUUGCAAUAAGUUUUGUUUGAGUCAAUAAAUUUGUCGAUUUCACAUAUCCCGUUUCCACGCCACUUAGCCGGAAUAGGGCCCAUUCCUUGAUCACUAAAGCUCUCAGAUUCCGGCCAUACACCUAUUUAAGAAAAAGGAUUGUAUUUGCAUCACAUCAUUGUAUCAACUAACAACUGUCAUAGAAAAGGAUUCCAAUGGUUUUUCGUCGCUAAAUCAUAUGAAACCUAUAUAUACCUGUAUCAAGGUUACCAAUGAUUGUGCCCUCACCAUAUCUUGCCAACUCCCAACUAGAGUCCUUAGGAGAUAUUCCAUUACCUUGUAGUCUAAGAAACUCCCAUGACCUUGUUGUAUGCAGUUCAUGCAUUUUGUUCAAGGAUACAGACACCACAUUUGGAUUUCCUGCAAAUCAAUAUCUAAUAGUCAUCGAACACGUCAUAUCAAAACAUCUUCGAAGACAACAAAAGCAUAUAUAUGCUAAUAAUUUUCUCACUCGCAAGCUCUUCUGCUUCUUCAUCUUCCAAGAUUGCUGCGAAACCAUUGAUGUGUCUAUUAUACGAGUAGAAUAUUGCAUCUUUGGCUUUCUCAUAGCUCCCUAGGAUAGAGCUCAAUAAACUAUAAUGUGAUUUUGUUGCAUAGUUUAAAUCAGCAGAAGAAGGAUUUAGGCCAUGAGAAUGUGCUCCUAAGUAAACAACAUAGGACUGUAACAGAAAAUGCAUUAGAAAUUUACAACAUAGUGAAUUUUUUUUAUUAUCUUAAUUUAAAUACAUCAUUUUCAUUUUUUUCACUACUCACCUUUCCAACGGCAAAGGAUGGUUGCACUUGUAAGAAGAAAGAAAAAACAAGAAAAGAUGAAAUAAAAAGCUGAGAAAUGUAGGAAGAAGACAUCAUUUCUCUUUGAAUUGAGAUGCUAAACUAUGUUUUCUCUACUCAUUAUAUACAAAAGUUUUGCUUCUUUUGCAUUUUACGCUUUAAGACUACAUGUGAAUUGUUCCAAUGCAAUUGGCAUUAAACAUGACACUAUUGAAUCAAAAGACACUUUUUUGAAAAAGUUAUUGAAACAAGCCCUUAUUGCUUAUUCUCUCACUUUUCAUUAUAAUACUAACAUGAUGUGAUUGUGUAAUUUUCCAUUUUGAUCAUGAAACAUAUUAAAUGGCAUUGGCAUGUGUCCAUGCUGAAAGUUACCUUUCAUCAAAAAUGGAAUAAAUUAACUAUAGGAAUGGAGUAAUGAAGACUUUUUUACUCCCCAAAAAAAAACAUGUCACAUGGAGUACGAAAUAAACUAACGUUAUGGAUUAGGGGAAGAAAAAUGAGAAUAGAACGGAAAAGUACGUGGGAGAUUCCACAAGUUCAUCACUAAGAUAUGAUGAUAAUUUGUGAAGCUUACUUAUAUAAGUUUAUUUAAGAGGCUAAUGUCAUUUAGGCGCUAGUCACUUAAAAUAAAAUUUAAAACAUAAAUCAAUUCUUUUCUUUCGUGUAAGAAAGUAAAGGCGUGUGUUUGAUUUGAUUUUAUGAAACUGUUUUUUAAUUUUUAAAAUUUAAAAAUUAUAAAACUUAUUUGGGAGUAUAAUUUUACAAAACUGUUUUUAAAAAUUAUUUUUUAUUUAAGAGUUUCAAAAAUUUUAAAAUUAAAACAGAUUUUAGUGAUUUUGGUUUCUAAUUUUUAGUUUUGGAAAUUAGGAAUAGAGGAAAAACAAAGAAAAUUGAUACACUUUUCAUUUGUAAUAUUAUACAACUUUAAAACAGCUUUUGAAUGUAAGAUUAUCAAAUAUAUUUUUUGUCAAUUUUUUUUCAAAAUUGUUUUUUAAAGUUGAUUUACAAAAUACUACCUCCGUUCUUUUUAGAAGAGACAACUCAUUUUUAGGUUCAUUGAAUAAUUAAUGUAUCUAAUCUAUAAACUGAUCAAAUAUAUUGAUUAUUCAAUAAACCCAAAAAAAUUUAUCUCUUAUAUAAAGGAACAAAAAUAGUAGUUUUUAAGAACUAAAAACUAAAACACAUUCAAACGGAUCAUAAUUUUAUGAUUUCAUUGAUCUCUUUUUUGAUUAAUAUACAAGAUUUCAUUUAUUAGUUUAGGAAACUAAUAAUGUAAUUACAACAAAUCAAUAUACUAAUAAUGUAUAAUUACAAUAAAUCAAUAUACACUAAAUAAAGACAAAUUUGUUUUUAUUCUAGGCAAAAUAGCCUUUUUCGUCUCAUAUAUUUAGCGCGGGAUUCAUUUUGGUCCCAUAAUUUUUAAAAGGCUCAUUUUCGUCCCUCAAUUGUAUUAAAUGUACCACGUUUAUACUUUGCAGACAAAACACACUAACGUUGUUAAACGUGAAAAAGUGUUAACAUCCAUUUUGGGGACCUAACUGUUGGUGUGGUGAUUUUGCGAAGCAAUUUUGGGGAUGUCCACAUUAUAAGGUAUGAUCUAUCUUGUUAAGUUUGCAAUUUCGAUUUUACACAGUGGGUAAUGUUCUAUGUAACCUGUGCAGGGGAAUACAAGUAAUGAAUGUGAUUAUUUUGAUUGAUUUUGUGUUGAAGUGAAAGAUGACAAAGACAUGUUUAUCAAAAAUAAAAAUAAAAAGAGGUUGAAAAUCUAAGAAAAGGAGAAUGAAGAUUAACAUCAAAAAUUACUUAAAUCUAAAGGAUUAAUUGAAGAACUUGAGAGGGCUCUCAAUAAUCCAAUGAAGUGGAAGACAUUUUGGAGAAAUUUAUUUUUUAUUGCUUUAAGUGUAUUAAUCUACAAUUUGUUAAUGUAAUUGUACAAUGAAAUGAAAUUGAAUUGUUCUAUGGGAUGAAUGAAUUGUAUUUCUACAAUAUUGUUUUAUGAGAUCAAUGAAAUGGAAUUGUGCAAUGUUGUUUAUCAUCUGAUAUAGUUACUGGUAUAAUUUGUAUAUCAAAAUGAACACUAUAACUGGUUUCGUUGAACUAUAACCUAACUGCUAUAAUUUGUAACUUAAUUGGUUAUAAUUUGCACUAUAAUUUAACUAGACAAAUUAGUAUAAUUUAGCUGUUAUAAUUUGUAUAUUUGGCCAUAAUAGAAUAUUGACAAAAUAUGUCUUUCAUAGCACCAUAACAAAAUUCCCAUAUAAGGGUUACAAAACAUAUACCUAAAACAUAAUGCCUAAACAUAGUACCAAAAUAAGUGACAUUACAGACUAAGACAUCACAUUGUACCAAAACAUAGUACCAAAAUAUGUGACAUUACAGACCAAAAUAUGACCUAAAACAUCAUAACAGAAAUAUCUAUUUUUUCUUCUUGCUUGCUUAAGAUUAAGUGAGCCUAGUUGUAGGGUCUGCCACAUUUCUUGAUGUAAAUAACCUAGUUGUAGGGCCUGGUGACCCCACACUUCUUGUUGGCAUCCUAAUGUUUAACUUCUUGACUGGAGUCCUUGAACCACUUGCUUUAGCUUUUGUGUUAGCUUGAGUCUGAGCCUGAGAUUGUUGUGUUUAAGCCUGAGACUGAGUUGGUUGUGUCUAAGUCUGAGAUUGUUGUGUCUACCCUUUCUGCUGGUAAAGGUACUCGGCCCUUUCUGCUCACCCUGCUCUACCUGCAGAGGUUCAUAACCAAUACCAAACUUGUCUUCUUUGACGGGCAAGUCCACCAUCUUGCCCCAGCCUUCUGCAUUGCCUGAGUUGACAACCUCCACAGCCUGUUUGUAGGAUGCAAUUGAGGCACUUGGCUUCUUCUGCUCAGCGAAAGCCACCUUCUCAAGAGCAACGGUCUCAAACGCCUGGCACAGAGUUUCAUGGAUCUCGCCAUCCACCUCCACAUAUUUGAAAGAGGAUAAAUGACUCACCAGAAUUUCCUCCUCGCCGCACACAGUUACAAUCUGACCGUUCCAAACAUACUUCAGCUUCUGAUGGAGAGUUGACGACACUGCUCCAGCCCCAUGUAUCCAGGGACGCCCCAAAAGACAACUAUAUGCUGGUUGGAUAUCCAUCACAUAGAAGAUAAUACCGAACACCUCCGGGCCAAUCUUCACAGGCAACGUGACUUCACCAAAAACAGACCGUUUGGAUCCAUCAAAUGCACGAACAAUAAGAUCGCUUGGAGUGAGGACAACCCCUUCAACAUCUAUCUUGCUCAAAGUCUUCUUGGGCAGGACAUUCAAAGACGAGCCAGUAUCCACCAACACAUGUGACAAUACUGCGCCUUUACACUCCAUAGUGAUAUGCAGGGCUUUGUUAUAGUUACGACCUUCAGGUGUCAAAUCCAGGAUUGUGAACCCCAAACCGUGCCUUGUGCUCACAUUAGCAAUAACACCCUCCAACUGAUUGACAGAGAUCUCCUGAGGCACGUAAGCCAGAUUCAACAUCUUCAGCAAGGCAUUACGGUGUGCCUCAGAGCACAACAGCAAUGAAAGGAUAGAAAUCUUGGACGGAGUUUGAUUCAGCUGAUCUACAAUCUUGUAGUCACUCUUCUUAAUAAUCUUCAUAAACUCCUCCACGUCCUUCUCAAAUGAGCCCUCAGGCGCUUCCUUCUGUACAGGUUCUUCAUCAACCACCGCUUGUUUACCCUUCUCUUUGGCGAGAGCCUCAGCAUUGUUGUCUCUCAAAGGCUGCGGUGCAAACAGACGACCGCUUCUGGUAAACCCUCCAGGUCCCCCCACAUUGUCCACAACAGGACCAACAGUCACUGAAGCUCUACCUGGCAAACCAAUAGUCACUGGAGCCUAAUUAACUGGUCUGAUCUGACUUUCUGCCCUUCGGUUGCUGCGGUAGGCAUUAUCAUACUUCCACGGCACGGCCCUACUGUUCUCAACAGCCCUUCUACCAGACACAACAACAGUAGUGAGAGCACUGACAGUUACUGGAGCAGAUAUAGUAACAGGAGUACCAACGGUUGUAGGUGCAUUAACAGUUCUCUGGCCACGUCCCUCGGAUGGUUUGAAAUAAAUGGUGACAGUUGACACCACUCCACGAUCUUUCACGGCCCUAGCAAACUGCAAACAGCCCUCAUCCAUCAAACCCUGGAUACCAUUCUUCAAUUGCAUACAACCAUUCUCGAAGUCUUCACAAUCUGAACAGCCCUUAUCACAACCCGGGAACACUCCCCCAUUCAACAGACGCUCUUUCACAACAAACAGCGACGUCUGGACAUCUUCAACAUCAACUACCAGGUCCAAGGCCUCCUCACCUUCCACAUUAUUCACCCUAUGCUUAUGCGCACCAUGCUGAGGCAUAGGAUUGUUCACAACAUUAGGCACAGGAGCAAAAUUGAUUGUUUUGGCGUCAAUCAAGUCCUGGACCUUAUGAUGAAAAGCCCGACAGUUCUCAAUAUGGUGCCCUGGUGCACCAGAAUGGAAGUCACAACGAACAUUGGCAUCAUACCCAGCAGGUAUCUUCGUCACCGGACCCAUAGUGCAUAACUCAACAAACCCCAAUCUAAGCAAUUCGGGCAGCAACUCAGCAUAUGUCAUCGGCAACGGGUCGAACCGAUGAUCCGGCAUUCUCUGUCUCGGCUGAAACGAACGUUGUUGUUGUUGUGGUGGUGGUGGUGGUUGUUGAACUCUUUGUUGUUGCUGUUGUCGUGGUUAAGGUGCUGGAAUGGUUACAGCAGCAACCUGACGAUACUGUCCGCUAUUCAUAUUUCUUCUGUGUUGCACAGCAUUAGUCUCACCCUCCCUCCUUCGGGGUGCCCCAGAAAAUGGCUUCUUUGAAGAUGAAGAACCAGCAUCCUGAAUCUUUCCAGCUUUAAUGAGACUCUCUGUCCUUUCUCCAUAAAUUACCACAUCAGAAAAGCUACCAAACGGGCAGCUCCCCAUCCGGUCCAUAAAUACUCCUUGCAAAGUCCCAAUAAACAUAUCGGUCAACUCCUUCUCCAGCAUCGGAGGUUGCACCCUUGCAGCUAAUUCCCGCCAUCUCUGGGCGUACUCUUUGAAACUCUCUCCAGACUUCUGACAUAAGCUCUGUAACUGAGUUCGGCUCGGCGCCAUGUCCAUAUUAUGCUUGUAUUGCCUCAGAAAGGCCUCACCCAGAUCUCUCCAACUUCUGAUGGACUCCCUCUUCAACUCCAUGUACCAGUCCAAGGAAGCUCCAGAUAAGCUGUCUUGGAAAAAGUACAUCCACAUCUUCUCAUCAUCUGUGUAGGCAGAGAUCUUUCUGAAAUAGGCCUGCACAUGGGUGCGAGGACAAGAAGUGCCAUUGUAUUUAUCAAAAGAAGGUGCCUUGAACUUAUAGGGAAUCCUCAGCCCUUCAACCAAUCCCAUAUUUGUAACAUCAAACCCCAAAGAGUUCUGACACUCCAUGGCUCUGAUCUUCUCAGCUAGGGCAUCAACCCUCCUAUCCCUUAUUCGUCAGUUCUUCCCACAACUUCAUCAUCCUCACUGAGGAAGUAAACAUAUCCUCCUGCCUAUCAACCAAUGGAGCAGAGGUUACGGACUGGAGCACGAGUCACCUCUAGCAUUAGCGUCUCUGGAGCAAUAGGUUGACCGUUGAUUCUGAUGCCCUCAAACUCAUCACCCCACGGCAUAGUUGUUGAUGGGAAAGCACAGUAGCAGGGUCAUUGACUGUGGCCUCCUCCUGCAAAGCAUGGUUGACCGGUGGAAUUGCAGCUUCUUGUCUCUGGAUGGGUCGAAGUUCUUCUUGACCUUGCGCAACCCCUUGCAUCAUAUGCAUGAACUGGGCCAUGUUAGCCCUCAUCUCUGCUAACUCACCUUGCACCUUGAUCCAUAUUCCUUCUGUUGAUAUCUAAACGCUCGUAGAGUAGCGGUGCGGACCGUUGAUGCAGCAAUCAUGCCUGAAACAGGAACCAGAAUGAGAAGUCUCGAUCAAGAACACCUGUAUGCAAGAAUGGAUAUGUGUAUGAUGCUAAUGAUGCGUAUGAUGCACAUGAUAUGUUCAUUCCUCAGGCAUUCAAAAGCCUAAUUCAUCUUUCAAAAGAUGGCAACCUGCAACAAUGAACAACACAGAAGCAAACUACACAGGAUAAUGAGCACAAGGUGAAACAUCAACAACCUCAUCUAUAGAUGUGCACAAUAAAGGUCAUACAAAUAUAGUUCAAUCAAAGAUAACAUCAGAGUACAACAAGGGAUCCCAUCCAACAAUCCUGGAGGUGAUUCUCAAAAUAAACAAUAAGGUAAACUACAGAAGUCGUCCUCCAGGAAUGAGAGUCUUCAAAUACUGGCAUUGAUCAAUCAAACGGUCGCACUCUGAACAAUCAGGUAAAGGGGUGAUCUUCUCCUUCAAUUGUCUUCUGAGCUCUACAACUUCUCCUCCAAGUUGGUUCUCUGAUGCAAGCCUCAAGUCUACUUCCUUCUUCAAUUGGAUGUCUUUGUCUUUAAUCUGCUUUUCCAGGUCUCGUAUCUUCUUCUGAUAAUUAGUUUCAGCUCUCUGCAACCUCAAGUACUCAUGGUGUUCUUCAUUCAACAAUGUCUCUAACUCCUCAUAGGACCUCUUCUUGCUCUUCAAUCUGCUAGCAUCUUCACCCUGCAUGCCUUUGAGUUGAUGAGCCAAGUUCAGCUUGUCAGCUUUGGCUUUGUAAAGCUCCAUCUGAGUAUCUUGUUCCUUCUCUUUCAACCGACGAUUCUCCAUCAAGGCUUGUUUGUAGUGCUCAGCAGGCACACUCUCAGAAAGGAUCAAAGGUGGUUGCUCUUGCAAUGACUCCAUCCUAUCAUAGGGUAUAGGCUUGUUUGUAGUGCUCAGCAGGCACACUCUCAGAAAGGAUCAAAGGUGGUUGCUCUUGCAAUGACUCCAUCCUAUCAUAGGGUAACAACAAAGUCUCAACUCUCUUCUUGACCCAAUCAAUGUAGUCAGGCAUAGCAAUGGCAAACUUCUUCCCCAACACAGCUCCAUCCUUGACACCAAUAGUCUUCCAAGCUCUUCCCACUUGCUCCAAUCUAGCCGGGUCACUCUGCUUCUCAAAAUACACACUCUCAGCUAUCUCAGCAUCUAGUGGUCUUCCAUUCAUAACAAACCCCAACUGGCGAAGAGAAAGAACCGGGUUGUAAUUGAUGCAACCCUUAGUCCCUAUGAGUGGCACAUUACGAAACCCUCCACAACUCAUGAUGACAUUACGCACAUUCAACCUGUAAGCUUGCCACCUGAUGUCAUAGGAUGUGAGAGACAUAAUCCUCUGAGUCCACUUAUGAGUGUUCUGAGUAUCCAUAAAAGGUCCACUGGUUGGCAACAAGGACAAGAACCAUCUGAGUAGCAACGGGAGACAACACCUGAUAGCUCCACCCUUACCAUGCCUACUAUGGAUAGCAUAAUAAGUUUCAGCUAACAAGGUAGGAACCGGAUUUCCUCUGAUGAAGAUAGUGAUAGCAGCAAAGUCCACAAAAUUAGGCAUGCUAGGGAGCAACACAACUCCAUAGAUCAUAAUAGCCAAUUGAGCAUGAAAAGCUUCCCAAUUUCCCUUCCUUACUUCUUCUUUAGCCAUCCUCACCAGGUACUUCAAAGGCAAACCCACAACCUCACCACUUGACUUCCAAUUGUCACUUACCUCCUUGAUACUCAAAUAAAGAGCUCUGGCAACAACCCUGAAAUCAACUUCCUUUGGAGCAUCCAAGAAAGGCACCUGAUAUCUGAUCGGGACAUUCUUCAGGAUGGAGUACUCUUCAAGAGUGGGCGCUAACUGAUAAUCCUGGAAAGUGAAACAACGGAGCUCUGGGUCAUAGAACUGUAGAAGAGUCUGCAACGGUACUGGAUCUACCACCAUCUUCAACAGUGUCAACAAAUCCCCAUACUGAUCAACAAACACCUUCUGAUUACCGCCGGUCACAAGAUUGCUCAACUCUAUCAAAGACGUCAAUGGCUCACGGUGAAAACUGUAGGUGCAAGUCUUCCUCUUCAACUCUGGAACGGAUGCCAUCUCUCACAGUGAAUAGACUCUUGAAUGAACCUGAGAAAUGAUAUGCAUGAGGAGAUUAGCUUUUUUCUUUUCUUUUUCUUUCUUUUUUUAUUGCAUUAUUUUUUUUGAAAAUAAACAUGCUAUGAUGCAAAUAAUGCAAUGAUUGGCUGGCUGUGUAUCACGGAGCACAGGUUUAAAGCUUCGGCUUGAAUUCGGAACCACAAAGUCAUCUGAGACCCAAAGUUAUCUGAGACCCAUACAAUAAGAACCAAGUCACCAACAGGACCCAAGAGUUACCAACAAGUCACCAACAAGUCACCAACGGUACCUGUAAUGAUUCAAUUCCCUCCCCGCUCACGGGUGUCAUCUAGGUCAGGGUAAAGUCGAGAGAAACGCAGGAUAAAUAACCCUUUCAAGAAUAUCAUCAUGUACACACCAGAUGUAUGUAACGAUAAUACCCCAUCAGAGUCUGAACUGCUCGUGAUAUCAUGCUCUGCUAAGUGGCGCAAUACCACCCGUUUCCCAUGAAUCACUCUAUUCCUAGGUGUCCUAAAGUUCACUCAUGGCCUGGGUAUUGGGCCUUUUACCUCUUGUAACUCCCACCCCACAGAGAGACAGACACACAGCCAGCACAAUGAAAGGCAUGAUGGAAACUUGCAAGACAUAAGAACAAAUAAUGCAGAUAAAAUGAAUAUCAGUCACAAAGCAACCAAACCUAUUCUAAAGCGCUAGGAGUGAUUCGCUUAGGGAAGAUGGACCAGCAAGAGGUCAACUUUCUUGGUCCGGCCCAGUGGAGUCGCCAGCUGUCCGCAUUACGCGAAUAACCGGCGGAAACGAACAACAGAGCCGCAUCGCGUCGUUAUUUAUCCCAAGAGAGGGAAAGGAAACGCUACGAUAGUAAACCUGGAAUAAGACAUAGGUCCCGACCGAGAGAAGAUUGGGCUCGGGAGUCGGUUAUGCGAAGGGAAGGUAUUAGCACCCCUACGCAUCCGUCGUACUCGACGGGAUCCACGCACAAAAGAAUAGAAGAAAGGUUGCUAAAAACUGCUCAAACACUGCACACACUGCACAAGGCUGGAAGGAAACACAGAAAGACGGAAGAAACGGGACUCGGCAAGAUAUCGCAUCCUAGGCCUACGUAGUCUGUCAGGCACAGACAUCAGAGUCGACGUAGUUCGGGACGGGGGAAACGUGCUCGCUAGGAUGUCGCAUCCUAUGCAUACGUAUCUUCUCUGACCGAAGAAGAAUCAGAGCACUCGUAGCUCGGCUAACGCACGCCAAACAAAACCCAGGAAACCGACUGCCAAUCGCUGGACUUACGUCAGACUCCAUACAAACAGGUAAACAUGGAAACCGAAUUCCAAUCGUUGGACUUACAUCAGACUCCGAACCAACAAACACACACAGGAAACCAACUGCCAAUCGUUGGACUUACGUCAGACUCCAACAAGCAAACAAGACACAGGAAACCAACUGCCAAUCGCUGGUCUGCCAAUCGCUGGACUUACGUCAGUCUCCAAACACACACAAAGGGGUUGCAAAAGAAAAAGGGCGCCCGGAGAGAUCAGCUCAUCUCCUGCCUACGUACCUCAUCUGGUAUGAGGAUCAGGGCGACAUAGUUCCCCUUAACAGGGAAAGAACUUCUAACCUAACCAGAGACAAGGGAGAUAACAAGCUACUAGGGAGACUACGACUCGAGCCUAGAAGUUGUCAUGCAUAAGAUUCCUAUGUUGAGGUCUCUAUCCUAACUUGCACAGGAAGCAAGCUAUCCUAAACAGAACAAUCAAACACAUACAAGCACAAUAAAGCAAGCACACACACUAUAUGCAAACAGUUUGGGCUCAUACAGGGCUAGGCUGCAGAAACAAGCCAACUGGAAUGGGGUGUUGUUAGCUCUUAACCCUAACAUUGAGAGUUAGGGUGAAGCAGAUGAAAUGGGAGAUGAGGGUUAUGCCUCAUAGCUCUUAUCCCUGGCCUGGGAGAGUUUGACUCAAAAUAGAAAGUGUGGGAGUUCAGAAUGUAGGAACUCUUCUCCACAGAUGACUGACACAACAAGAUCUUGGAUUCUUAUUCACAAUGCAUCAACACAUGGUGUGUGAGCAAAGUGAAUGACACAACUGAAUAGCAGGGGAUGGAUUGCACAUCCCUUUUAUCUGUCAAUUGCCUCUUAAGAGGUCUUUACAUUAAACAUCACAACAUUGCCUCUUAAGGAGGGGUUCAGACAGGUGCUAAAUACAGUAGGUCUUCCAGACUACAUGAAGAUUAAGGAAUUAUACUCAGUGGUAUGCCAACCACAAGCAAUAAGUUCAAAUGAACUUAAAGCAACUUAGGUACCUGUGGAAACAGCUAAACCAAUCAGUACAACUUUCAGACAAACAAUCAACAGUUAAUAUCACACAGACAGACAAAUCCAAUCAGGCAACAAUGGUACAAGGCCCAAGGCAAACACAAAUGAAUUGUCCUCAAAGCCUACAAAACACAUAAAGGUUAGCAAAUGACAACAAUUGAUCAAGCUUAAAUGAAGGAGCUACUCCAAUCAUGGAAAUGUAUACUUGAACCUGAAAUCACAACUCAAAUGGUAAGUAACAAACCACUAGGUCAAAGCCUAGGGUCAAAAGAGGAUCAAAAAUCCAAAACAGAACCUCAAACUCAACACAAAGCAUGUUUAAUCACUCAAGAACAAGUCCUAAAAAGGACCAAGUCAUAAUCAAUAAGCAAGUCCAUUUCAUGUGCAAGAUAAGUCAAAGACCAAUUCAAGGCAUCCAAAUCAUCAACAUGAAUAAAAAUUCUCAAUCAAAACAGAAAUGAUUCAAAUAAUUCUGGAAGAAUUCAUGAGAAAUCAAGACAUCCACAACAUCCAUCACACAAAAAAUCAGAAACAUUGGAGAUCAUUUGGCAUGGAAAUCAUAUUGUGCAAGUUAGACAACCAAAUGUGUGACACAAAUUGUCACACCAUGUUAACACAAGCAUAAAACAGAAUUAAUACAUGAGAAAAAUGUCAAACCAAAGCCAAAAUGUCCAUCAAUGUGUCUAGAAUCAGCAUGCAAAAUUUCAAGUUCAUUGGAUUAAAAUCAAGCAUUUCACAACAAGAUAAGCAAGGCAAGGUCACAAAUGGAUUCCAAAAUGUCCAUCAAUGUGUCUAGAAUCAGCAUGCAAAAUUUCAAGUUCAUUGGAUUAAAAUCAAGCAUUUCACAACAAGAUAAGCAAGGCAAGGUCACAAAUGGAUACAUGAUCACAUAACCUAGGACCAAAUAAAAUCCAUCCAUGCAUAAUUUUCCAAUUUAUGAUCAUAAAAUCCUAGACAGAAUAAGGAGCAUUUUGCAAAAAAUUGGGAUGAAAUUGGAUGAGUUUUCAAUUUGUUAUGAUUUUAUGAAGUUUGGGAAAAAUUUGAAAUCAAAAUGUGAACAAGCAUGGCAUGAAAUAAGGAGGGAAUAUGUGAAAAAUGAUGAAUAUUUGAAUAAGCGCACGCGGUGGGACUCGAACCUGGUCCACAUUUGAAUUUACGCGCUAAGCCUAAAACGACAUCGUUUCAGCUAAUGCCCUAACGCUGCCCAGAAAUCGUAGCAAAUGAUGAAUGUUUCGUAGCAAAUCCCAGAAAUUCGUAGCUAAUUCGUGGCUAGUGAAGAACAAUCGUAGCUAAAACUGGAAAACUCAUGAGCUUCAUCUUCUUCACGAGGUUGAAGAUGAAGAUGAAGAUGAACUUCAUGCAAACUCCAGCAAAAUUCCAGAAAUCAAAAAUUUUAAUGCCAAUCGGUUCCUCGUUUCAUGCACAUGCAAGAUCAAGCAACAAAUCAUGCCAAAACAUCAUGCAUCAUCCAAAUCAAAGAAAAGAAAAAUUGACAUCAAACUUUCAAACAUGCAUAACUUCAUGGAUAAUGCACCAUUUCACUCAAUUUUUAUAUCAGAAUCAUCACCAAGCAGAGAUCUACACAAAUAUCAUAAUGAAUUCAAGAAUAAAGGAGAUCGAAACUUGACCUCUUUGAAGAACAGCAAGUGGAAACUCGUGCUACAAGGCUCAGCAAUGGCUCAAAUCUCUUCUACAAUGCUUAGUGAGAUGAUUGAUGGAGGGAUUAAAGCUCAAACAAGCACGAAUCCAGUUGAAUUUGAAAUCUCCAUUAAUGCUUCAAGCUUCAUGUAUGGUCAAAACUGGCACGAAUUCCUCCAAGUCCACGUUCAAUCUUGCUCAGAAACACCUCUUGAUCAUGAUUCCACGAAGAGAAAUGGCUUGGAUGUGAGAAAAUCGAAAGUUCUUGUUGAGAGAAAUUUUUGAUAAAUUUCUAGAUCUAGAUCUGAAAAGCUUCUUAAUGCCAAAUGCAGUUGUGAUUAUCAUUAUAAUACCCUUGUUAAUCAUUCUGAAAACAUGUUUAAGCCAAAACCAUUGAGAUAAAAGUUGUAAGGUGUGUGCACAAAAUUGAUUUUCACCUCAUGCAUGAGGUGCAUGCGUGAACAGUGAUUAUGCUGACCACAAAUCGCACUUAAACAAGGCCCAUGCACACUUUGGAAUUGGUAUUUCAUGCAUAUGAUCAACCAAAUUGAUUUUAGAAAUUUUCCUUCAAAAAACUUCAUGAAUGAGCAUAUGACCAUGCAAGUGAAAUUCAUGCCAUGUAAUGAGAUAUUUGGAAAGUGCAUGUCAUGAUGAACAAAAUGCAAAAAGAACCACCAAAAUUGGAGCUUCGGUUCAAAAGAUAUGGCCAUUUGAAUUUUUAAGCAUACUUUGCCAAGAUUUGAUAAUAACUCCUUAACCAUUCAUUAGAAAUUCAUGAUCUUGGACUUUUUGGAAAUGGGAGAGAGAGAUCUUCAACUUUCAUGUUGGACAAAAUUUCAUUUGAAGCUUUCUUGAUGAUGUAAAAUUGAGUUGAAGUUGGUCCAAAAACUUCCUAUUUUUGGAAACUUGAAAAUUACAGGUCAUUUUCCAUUUUUGGAAACUUUUGAUUUGGCUUCAAAUCCUUCAAGAUAGAUGUUUGACAUGUUGAAUAACCUUCUUUGGGACAUGAAUGAAGUGUCUCAAUCCAUUUCCCACCUCCAAGUCCACAGUUGACUUUGCAGUUGACUUUUAUGGGCCUCAAAUGACUUGCACAUGCACUGAUGAGUUCUGAGCCUUCAACACUUGGCCAAGUUGCUCAAAAAUGAUCCUUGGGUCAUGUAAGCUCUUUGGAACCACCCUAGGGCUUUCAUCUCAUGGAAAAUGCUAUUGCUCUCUUGCACAGUUGAAUCUCCUGACCAGUCUUGACUGAUGAGAUAAUAAUGGACUAUGCAAUGUUAAAUACAAUGCUAAUGACCUAAAAAAUGAAAUAAAUGUACAAAUGGGAGGUGCAAAUUUAAGGUGCUACACAAGGCAGGAGGUUGACGAACAUUGAAACUGUCUCUAAUAUCCUGAAACAGUAUUGAAGGAAGACAUUUGGUAAAGAUAUAUGUAAUUUGAUAUCAUGGGGGAACAUGUAGAACACAAACAUGGCCGCAAACUACUUUUCUUAAACAAAAAGAUUAUCCAUUUCUAUGUGUUUCGUGCAUUGAUCUUGGACUGGAUUGGCAAAGAGAUAGAUGGCAUUGACAUUGUCACAAUAGACUAAAGUUGCCUUAAGAAUAAUACAAUGUAGUUCAAGAAGAAGAUUGUGUAACCAUCAUGAUUUAGAAACUACAUUGGCAACACCGCGGUAUUCGGCUUCAACACUAGAUCGAUAUAAUGUAGGUUGCCUGUUGGAGGACCAAAAGAGUAGGUUAUCCCAAGAAACACAUAAUAACUAGAGGUGGAGCAUCCGGUGUUUGGGUACCCUCCCUAAUCAUCAUAUGUAUUAGAUAUUAAGGAGGAAGUAGAUGAGUGAUAAAGACGUAAACCAUACUGAUGUAUGCCUUGAAUGUCGCACAAAAUACGUCUGAGAGCGAGCAUGUGGGUUUCCAUGGGAUUGUGCAUGAAUAGACAUAUUUGUUGAACUUGAUAGAAAAUGUUUGAUCGAGUAAAAGUGAGGUACUGAAGUGCACCUGCAAGGUUGCGAUAGAGAGAUGGAUUCUCAAAAGGAAUGCACUCAGCUUCAGUUUUGUGUCAACUGGGGUGAGACACGGUUUGCAGGAUGACAUGUCGACACAAACAAUAAUUUCUUUUGAGUAAAGAGACCUCUAGAGUGUUGAGUAACCACAAGUCAAGAAGAAGUGCAAGGGUCUCAAAUAUUUUAUUGCAAAUUUUGAACUAAGUAGUAAAAUAUUAGAUUGCCUCAGAGCAUCAGAGGACCUAGUAGGAAUAUUAUCAUCAACAUAUAAGAGGAGGUAUGUCAUAUGAAAUCAUUUCUUGUAAAUAAAGAGAGAGUGAUUACAGUUGCUUUGAGAGAAACCAAUGGAAGAAAUAUAAUCAACAAAGCAUUUAUACCAACUUCAAGGAACUUGUUUAAGCCUAUAUAAGGAUUUACAUAGAAACACACACAUGAUGUGGAUUUUUCGGGUCCUUUAAGCCUAACGGUUGAUGCAUGUAAAUUUUUUCUUUAAGCUCACCAUGAAGAAAUGUGUUCUUGACAUCCAACUGAUGAAUUUGCCAAGAUUUAGAAACAACAGUACUGAGAACAGUUUGAAUUGUUGCUGGUUUAACAACUAGACUGGAAUUUUCUCCACAGUUUGAAUGGUUACCUGUUGACCUACACCAUCACUUACAAGUCGAGCUUUAUGCCUCUCAAAAGAAUCGUUAGAUUUUUCCUUAUGUCCAAAAAUCUACAGAGAUCUAAUAACAUUGACAUCAGGUGGUCGUGGUACUAAAUUCCACGUCUUAUUUUUAAUUAAAGCAUUGUAUUCAUCAUACAUGGUCAUUUUCCAAUUUGGGUCUCGAAGUGCAGACAUUGGGUUUCUAGGGAGAGGGUAUUUUCUAAUAUGAGUGUGUAGGCCAUAAUAUUUUUUAUUAGGUUUAAAAAUUCCAUGUUGAUUCGUAGUUAUAUGUUUAGUCUUUAUUUGUAAGAUUCGUGGGAAAAUAGGAGGAAAUAAGGGUUGGUUUGUUGGUGGAGGGUGUGAUGGUGCGAUGGAGGUUAGGGAGUAGGAGAAAGGAAGGGUGUUAGUCGGUUGGAUAAUUUUUGAAAGGCGUGUUGGUUGGUUGGAUAAUCUUGGAGUGGGGAGAGUGGUUGGUUGGUCCAAAAUUGACGGGAAGGACCAGUCAAUUUGAUGAGCCAAUGGGAUUUUCUUUGGAUCAGAUUUUUUGUGGGUCAAGAGGUGGUCAAUGAUGUAAGGGGAUGUGUCAUUAUCUAAGAAGGCGUAUAUGGUGAGUUGGGGGCCUAUUCCAAUUAUAAUAUGGAGAAGGGUAUUAUGGAAUGUCCCAUGGGGUCCAUGUUGCUAAUGUGCCCAUUGUUGCUAAGUAUGUUAUUUGUGACCGCCGUUCCGGCCACCUUUACCGGUGUUCCUGCCGCCGCCAUUGAACAUUUAUUUUUCUUCCCAUAACUGCAAGAGGGGGUGCAUUCGGCCUGAUGUGCAUUCCGUUUACUGAUUAGGGAGGAAGAUACAUAUUGUACGGAUGUGGGAUGGUAUUGGCACCAACACCACCAGUGUGAAAGAGGAAGAAUUGUGAGUGACACGUUAUUCGAGCUCUAAUCGAGAUUUGGCACCAACAAAAGUUUGUAAAGGAUCAUGUUGUUGGAUGUAGGUAAGAAACCCUACAUAUGCAUUGGUGAGGCUAGAGAUCAUUUUCAAAACCAAAUGGGUGUUGGAAACCGGAGACUCAAGAUUUACAAGUUAAUCGGAUAAGAGUUUGAGACGGUUUCAAUAGGCUUCAAUGGAGGGAAAUUCCUUAAGGUUUGUGUUGCUAAACUAGUUCUUAAGUUGGAUGACCCUUGAAUGAUUGUUGUCGUUGAACAUGGCAGCAAUAUGUUUCCAACAUGUUUAGGCAGAGUUGUCGAUUACAAGGAUAAAUGUGAGAUGUCUUGUGAGACGGUAACAUACAUCCAUUGCAACAAAACAACGUCUAGAUGAUUCCAAAACUCAUAAUCACUAGCUUUAAGGGUGGUUGUCGCAUGGAUUGCAUCUAUGUCAGAGGGAGGGAUGAUAUGAUCAAGCAUGUUGCGGACACAUGACUACACUUUAAAUAGAAAAAACCAAGAGAGAUAAAGAUCAAUGUUAUUUUCUAACGUCACCCGAUUGAUUAUUUUGACGUUGUUAAUGGCAAAAGCAACGUGUUUUGGUUUUUCCCACCAGAGUGGAUUGGCUGGUCGGUGACAAAGUGUCGUCACCAUUAUUUGAGAGGUAAGAAUUUCCAGUCAUGGGAAAGGGAGGAGGAGGGGCGACAACUUGUUUAAGUAUUUUAGGGUUUAUCGAUCUCUGUAAAAAAAGUAAUUCCAUGAUUUCAUUGAUCUAUUUUCUGAAUGAUAUACAAGAUUUCACUUAUUAGUUUAGGAAACUAAUAAUGUACAAUCACAACAAAUCAAUGCAAUAAUAAUGUAUAAUUGAAAUAAGUCAAUAUACACUAAAUAUAGACAAAUUUGUUUUUAUUCUAUUACGGUGGACUUUAAUAAAUAUGAGAUUAAAUUGAACUAUGAGCAAUACUGUUGUGAAGUAAUUUGUAUUUGGUGCAGUUGCUUGUUAGUUGUUAGUAAGUGUUUAGUUAGUUAGUUUGUUGAUAUUGUUAAGUUGGUUGAAAUGACUUGUUAUAGAAUGAACCUUGUAUUGUAUGUUGUAAUGAAUCUUUGCCUAAUAGAUUUUUAUUCUCAUCGCUUUUAAUAUGCAUUUAUACUCUUUACCUCAAUUAUCUGACUCUCUAUUAUUCUCCUUUGAUCUAUUUAAUCAAUUCAAUCAAGUGUGAAUGUUAAAAUGUUUAGAAAAAUAAGUUUCAAUCGUUAUUUUGUAAUCAAGAAUUAUGGUGAAUUUGAACUCAACUUCAAAUGGAAAUUUUCAUGCAAAUAUUUUAAUAUUCAAAGGAGUAAAUUAUGAGUGUUGGUGUGCGCAGAUAAAAAUGAUAUUCAAAAUUUAAAAUGUGCUUUAAAUCGUUAAUGAUAGUGAUUAAGUAUUAACUGAAAAUGAAAUUGAGGCGGAAAAAAAUGUUCUUAACCCAUCAAUGUAUUGAUCUAAAUUGAUAAGAUCAUUUAAGAGGAAGUACCAAAAGGUUCUUGGGGUUCUCUCAAGAAACUGUGUUGGAGAGGGGCAUAGGCAGGGGAGUCGACUAGUGGACCCUGCCCCCCCCCCCGCCCCCCCCCCCGGCAAUAUAAUCCAAGAGGAUAUUCAUGUAAUACGUUGUUUGUGAUUUACGUUUCUGUUUUCUAUUUUGUUACUAUUUGAUGUUCUAAUAAUUGGUAUCAGAUGACGAUUAAUUUUGAUGAAAAAUUCAAAGUGGCAAGAUUCGAAGGAACAAAUUUUUUUAGAUUAUGACGAAGGAGAGUUAAGGAUUUGUUGGCUCAAUAAGGUUUAUGCAAGACGUUGUGUGAAAUGCAAUCAACGAACAUGGAAGACGCCAUUUGAUACUUCUAUGAAUUUCAAAUGAUAUGAUGUAUCAUAUCUUGGACCUAAUUCCUCCCAAGGUGGUUUGAGAUAAACAUGAGAGUUAAUAUAUGUCCAAGUCGUUGAUGAACAAACAUCCCAUAAAGCAGCGUCUAUAUAGUCUGAACAUGCUAGAAGGAUAUCAUUUGCAACAACUUGUUAAAACCUUUAACAACUUUAUCACUGAUCUAGUGAUACUUGGGGUAAAGGUUGGCGUUGAAAAAAAAUACAAUCUUAAUGUUGUGCAUAUCAUUAGAUUCUUAUGAUCACUUAGUGAUCACUCUUACGUACGAGAAAUACAUCGUCCACUUUGAUGUAAUUAUUACUACAUUUUUUUUUCAUUCACAAAGAAUACAAUAUGUAGAAGAACAAACUCAACGCAAAGGUCUUUAUGUGAAUGGGGAAAAGAUUAAAGGCGGAACAAAGUUAAAGCAGGUUCUAAAAAAAAGAGGUUUAAAUCCAAUAUCAGACAAACAACUGAGUCACAUUGUUGCAAACUAAUCAAAUAUGGAUGAGAGAUUAUCUAAAAAAAGUAGGAUCCAAAAAGUUCUGCAAACAUGCUUCAAACUAAUGGAUCUUGUAGUGAAAGAGAUAUACUUUGUGUUUCAUCUAGAAAAUGUACAAAAAUAUGGAUUAUUGACUGUUGAUGCUUUUAUCACAUAUCGUCACACUAGGAGUGGUUCACCAUAUUUAGGUCAAUUAGUUUUGGAUUUGUUUAUUUGGGUGAUGAUAAAGUAUUUAAUAUAAUUGUAAUUAUACAAAUUAAAAUUUCUAUGAACAAUGGUUGCGUUCAGACAUUGGCUGAUGCGAGGCAUAUUCUAGAAUUGAGAAAUAAUAUGAUUUUCCUAGGUACUUUACAAUAAAAUGGUUUGUCCUAUAGGUAUAAUGGAGAUAGAUACAUUAUAAAGGUAAACAAGGUUUACUUGAUUAUUAUGAGAGCAAAGAAUAUGACAAGUAACAUCCUCAAACCUUUGGGAAGUAUUGUUCUAGGUUAUGUUGUGUUAGUUGAGUUGUAUAAUGAUGCACCCAAACUCUGGAACAUAAGCAUGGAUCAUCUCAGUGAGCGUGGGGUGAUUGAACUUUAUAAGAGAAAUCUAUUAAAGGGUAUUCACAAUUGCAAGAUUGAAUUGUGCAAGUAUUAUUGGGAAACAAUGAUGUGUUUAUUUUAGGAUCGCGAAACACAAAACAUAAGGAAUCCUAGAAUAUGUGCAUUCAUAUGUAUGAGGGCCUACAGAAUAGGCCUUUAUGGGUCGUUCUAGAUAUUUUGUGGCUUUUACUGAUUAUUUUUCUUGCAAGGUUUAGAUAUGUUUCUGGAAGAAAAAAUAAGAAGUCUUUACCAAGUUCUAGCUAUUGAAGGCAUAUGUAUAAAAUCUAAUGGGCAUAAAAUCAAGUAUUUUUGGUCAGAUAAUGAGAUGUAUUAUACUAAUUCAAAAUUUAAAAACAUUUGUGUGAAACACAGUAUUUAUAGGUACUUUUCUGUUUGAAAGAUACUACAAUAGAAUGGUGUGGGAGAAAGAAUUCACAUGUCUCUAACUGAAAGAGAAAGAUGUCUCUAGUUGAAUCUUGAAAUCUCAUAGGGUUUUAACUUGCAUAAAAGGUAUGGACAUGUAACCUAAUUGGCGUGCUAUAUUAUCAAUAAAUUACCACAAACUUAUUUGGAUGGGAAAUAUUCAUAUAAGGUAUGGACUUGUAACCUAAUUGAUCUUGACAAUUUAAGGAGUUUUGGAUGUUUAUAGCAUGUGCAUAUAUCAAUUGAAGAUAUAUUCAUACUUGACCCAAAUUCAAAUAAGUGUGUCUUUGUCGGUUCUACAAAAGGUUUGAAGGUCUUCAAGUUAUGGGAUAUAAUUUCAAAGGCAAUGAUCAUCAGGAAAUAAGUUGUCUUGAAAAAUUCAAGUUUAAGAAGUUAGUUGCAUUAGAUAUGUCGGUAUAUGAAAAGGAAACUUUCAGUAAUAAGGUGAUUCAGGUAAAUAAUGAUCCACUACUAGUGAUAAAUGUAUGGGUAUCAUCUUAAUUUCAAGUUGAACUAGACUCUGAUACUAAAAUCCACCACGAGCAUGAAGAUUUAGGUGGAUCAUAUGAUUACUCUCUUUUACAUGAAAAAGACCGUGUUGGACAAGUGACUUCAAGCACAAGAGGGGGGUGAAUUAUAGUAUUUAAAACUCACUAUUACUUAUAUAUUUUCUCGAUUAAACUUAAAAUUGUGUUAGUAGUUUCUUAAGAUUAAAUAGCAGCGGAAAUGAAAACAGUAAAUAAUGGAAAAUAAAGAGAGUAAGGGUUAAAGAUAUUGCACUAGAAAGUUAUCCAGGUUUGACCGAACGUUGACCUAGUCCAGUCCCCAAAAGGUCUUCUUGAGAUUUUGACUAUAAACUUUUGAGCUUUUACAAGUUGUGCCCAUGAACUUUAAUGUAAUAUGAUCUUGAGAUUUUUACAAGCUUAUCCCCAAUCAAUGAUAGCUUUUACCUUAGGAUAAAUGAUCAAAUUGUUUAGAGAUUUAGGCUUAUCUCAGUAACCAAAAUAAAGCUUUUUUCCAAAAAAGCUUAAGAAACCAAACACAAAGAUUUUAUGACUGAUUUAUCGCAUGAACCAAACCCAAUCUCUUAUUAGUAUCACACUCUUAAGAAUUAAACGACCAACACGAUCACUUACAAAUUCUUCCUCAUAAUAAAAACUUCACUAAAAAACCCUAAGGCAUCCUAAACUGAAAAGAAAUAUUUCUAAAGAGGGAAAGAAAGAAAAUAAAGAGAUAAAUUCCAAAGAAAAUGUAAAUCAUUAGAAAGUAGUAUAAAGUGAAAGUUGAUGAGCCUCAUUUAUAUAGGAGUUGUAAAAAUAAAAAAGGGAAACAAUUUUUGGGAAUUUUUAAUGUCCCAAUCGAUUGGGUGACCUAAAUAAUUGAUUAUCUUGGCUCAUUUUGGAAAGUUUGGAUAAGGAGGUGUUGCAAGUCAUUAAGACACUGUCUAGAUCGAUUGGUUAAUCAUUUAGGCCUCUUCCAAUCGAUUGACAUAAGUACCAAAUCGAUUUGAUAGUCAAAAAAAUAUUCCAAUCGAUUGACUUAAGAUACCAAUCAAUUAGGUAGUUCAAAAAAGUAUUCCAAUGAUUGGCUUAAGGUCCCAAUCGAUUGGUUAGUUAAAAAAUGCUUCAAAAAGGAGGUUGAAUGUAUCCUAAUCAACUGGAUCAUGAGUGAAAACAUUUUUAAGGUGUAAAAAGGUUAGAAAAAAACUUUUAAGUGUGUGUGUGAGUUGCCUUAGCACUUAGAAGCCAAUUCCUUAAUUUUACACAACUCUGGUCACUCAGACAGACAAGAAGACACGACUUAUUGAGCUUUCACACUUUUAUCCGAGACUUCAAGAUUCUAUACUGAAUUGUUCCUAAUCAUUUAAUCACUUUAAUAUUGAUUCUCUUGUUAAUGAGGCAUGAUAUGUUUCUCUGAUUAGGUGACAAUCAUCAAGGUUGAAAGUUAUUGCCAUUAAAUUUAUCACAAUUGUUAAUGUUGUCGUUAUCAAAUCAUCAGAGAGGAUCUUUUGUGGGAUUGUAUCAGAAAAUGUUAAUAUACUUUAUCUUUGUUCUCCUAUUUCAGGCUUUCUAGCAGAAAGAGACAAAGAAACACACAACAGAGGAAGAGGAUCUUUUGUGUGUGUGUGUAUAUAUAUAUAACUUGCACACUGACAUUGGAUCGACGUCCGGAUUUAACUACAAACUUAUUGUAUCCAGGUGCCAUUAAAUAUGAACUUGCGGUAUCCUUAUGAUGUCGCCUCUAUAAUCAUCCUAUCGAUGAUGGGAAGCGUGGGCGUAGCUAAUUUGAGUGGUGGGUUCCGAGGCUUCGUCCCGACCUUCAUAGAAAUUGACUUAAGACCCCGGUUUGACCCUAGAUUUGGACAUGGGAUUUCCACUUUUUCUUUUCUACGGAGUUCUUGAGGAAAUUGAAGAUUUGGAUUCUGAGGAAGUAGAAUGGAAGCGGUGGUCGGAAAAUCCCUAUCUUCAUUCUAGAAUCAUUUUUUUAUUCUGAGAUCUAAGGAAGUUGCGAUCGGUGAGGAUCGAGAAUGAACGUGAAUCCGCAUAAAAUGUAGGAAUCAAAUGUUGAUUUCCUCUUGAUUCGAUAACAUGAGGAAGUUAUGAGCUAACAAAUCGAGGAUUUGGACCUGAACCGCAAGAAUUUAGAUCUGAAACUUCUGAGUUUGCUAAAUGUUGUUCGUGAAGCAAACUCGAUUUUUGUGGGAAACGCAUGAAUUGAAAUUCGAUCACCAUAGAAUGGGCCACUAUUCCUUCGAAUACCAGAAAUAGAUGAUCUAACUCUCCGAAGGAAUCAUAAAUGAAGAGAGUUGAAUAUCUGUGAUCUUGAACGGUGACUCUGAUCAUCUUUAUAGCAGAGUGGGUGGACCUACAUGGUUAACACCUCAACGUCUAAGUCAGUUCAAGGUUCAAGAUGAGUAUAGUGAAAUUAGAGAUAAGAUAUUGUGUACCAUCUCAUAACAUGUGAUCUGUUUUUAUAUAUUUCAUGAAGCAAACUCGAUUUUUGUGGGAAACGCAUGAAUUGAAAUUCGAUUCCCACAAAAUGGGCCACUGUUCCUUCGAAAACCAGAAAUAGAUGAUCUAACUCUCAGAAGGAAUCAUAAAUGAAGAGAGUUGAGUAUUUGCGAUCUUGAACGGUGACUCUGAUCAUCUUUAUAGCAGAGUGGGUGGACCUACAUGGUUAACACCUCAACGUCUAAGUCAGUUCAAGGUUCAAGAUGAGUAUACUGAAAUUAGAGAUAAGAUAUUGUGUACCAUCUCAUAACAUGUGAUCUGUUUUUAUAUAUUGAGUUGAGUCGAGGAUAAUGGACUUGAGAUGAAUUGGCCCUUCGUCAAUUGGGCCGGUCCAAAACAUAAAUUAUAAUUCUUUUGGUUAAAUGAAAUUUUAGUUUUUUAUUUAAAAAAUAAACAAAAAGGUGUUCCCUUUAUUUUAUAACUUCAAUUCUUAAUCUUCCAAUUUUAAUAAUUGUUUAUAUCAUAUUUUAAUGACAUUGAAUAUCGCAUUUGUUGGGGGAGUUUUUCACUAUGGAGCAUUGAAUAUCGCAUUUGUUAGGGGAGUUUUUCACUAUGGAGCAUUGAAUAUCGCGAGACUUCUUCUUUUGGAACAAUAUCUUUGUGAGAGACACACCAUAUAUUCACCUAAAACCUUAAGGUGAUAGGUGGGUGGAUUCUCUCACUUAUAAAUGCUCAAGUCUCCACAUUUACAACCAGUGUGGGACUAUUAUCUCAACAAAAUUUACUAAAAAGAAAAAGAUUUAAAAAUAAAAAGAAAUAUAAUUAGUCUUCUAUUUUGGUUAUAGUUUAAUCUUUGUUGGUUCACAUGUGUCCAUGGGCCUUUUCUAAGCCCAAAUUUUAUUUCUAUGAUGCUACACCAAAAGUUCAAUAAAAGAAUCAUUAAAUAAUUUUUUUUCUUUUUAAAUAUGAAUAAAAAUUGAUUAAAUAAAACAAAAAACACUUUAUCACUCAUUUAUAAAAUAAAACAAAAAAUAUAUAUUAAAAGUUAAUAUAUGCAAAAAGUUUUUCUAAAUGCUGACUUAGUACUCAUUAUUUUCAUGUGAAGUACAUUUUAUUUUAAUUUUAAACUUUUUAAUUUUUAUUAAAAAAAACACUUUUUACCUUAAAAUAUUCUUUGAUAAUAUGAUUUCACUCCUUAACACUAUCAUUUCCUAAAACUUUAGGAGUGGAAAUACAUAUUAAAACAACUUAAGUGUUUUUUAAGUCCAAAAAUAUCAAAAUCUUUAGUACUUUUUUGAAUUCAAAUGUUACCGAAUAAAAUAAUUAUAUGUAUAAAAAACAUGUUUAUAUUUAAGCUUUAGUUCCUCUAUAAAAGGAUGUUUUGAACCGGAUGUUGAAAAUUGUUAUAAUUUUUCUGUCAAACUUUUUUUUGAACUAUUAUGUAUGAUAUUGGUUUUUAUGGUAUUUUUCAGAAUGAGUUCACGACUAUGUCGGGGAUUCCUGCUUCUAUCUCCACCUCUUUAUGUUUGAACUGUCGUUGUGUGAUUAUGUUGAGACUAGGUUUUGAUGAGGAUCUUUUAGCUCGUCUUACAUGGUUCUUUUAAGAUUUGAGUGAAUAGUUGAAGGGUGAUGACUAAUUUGGGUAGAAGAAUUAUCACUCUGACAUAAAUGUGUUACUCUAAGCUAACAUAGAGUGAUUCAUUAUUAGAAUCGGUCUGUAGGCAAUCGAGCUAUUUAGGAGAAUUUCUGCAGAGUAUUGUUAUGGUUUCUUGAUGCCUCUGAAUAAAAAAAUAGUUCAGUAUUUAUAAGAGUUGAAAUUGGUUAGAAUUUAAAUGAGUCUCAAUUUUCAAGUGUGUGAGUCUGUUUGAAAAUAAAUUGAAAAUAAUUUUGUGAUUUGAAAUAAAUAUGAAAUUUGCUGAAAGUUUGUUCUCGAGUGAAAAGUUGUUGUGGUCUCAUGUAUGAACUUGAGUUCCAAAUGAAUGAAAUGAGAAUUUUAUAAUCCAUUGUUGUAUGUGCUUAUUUAUUCUUUGUUUGAUUUGAAAUGUUAAAGGUCUUGGUAUUUGUGAAAUAAAAUAACAAGAUAAUUAAGAGCUUUACAAAAAAUUCUUUAACAUCCACAUGCAUCCAAUAUGCAUCGUGCAUUUCAUUUCCAAAUAAAAAACUCAUUUCAACUCUCCUCGUUUCCAGUAAAUCAAGUUGAUUCCUCGGCAUCAAUACGCCACCCACGCCAAUACUAGAAGAAUAUUGGAUCAAGUUAAAUAAGAACAAGUUGUUAUGUGAGAGAAGAUUGACUCUAUCAAAGACAAAGUUGAUCAAAUUCUCGAAACCAUGUUGGCUCUGGCCAUAAGGGAAUAGGAUAUUCAUAAUGCUUCUACUACAAGGAACGAUGUUCUGGUUCAAGGGUCUACUUCACAUUCAUGACCUGCAAUCCCUGUUCCCAAUACUAUGGUUUAUGGCCUUCCCUCAGGCUAUACUCCUCCAUUUGAGGGAGUUAAUGCUCAACCAGGGCAUGCUUUUGUGGUCAUCGAUGAAAUUACCGCACAAGAUUCUCCUGUUGUUAACCAAAUAUCUCUUUCUCGUAUUGAUAAGGAGCUCCAAAAUGAGUAUGAUAAGCAAAAUUAUCAUGGGGCAGUCCCAGUAGUCAAUCUUGUUGGUGCUCAAGAUUCAGAAGCUAUCCAGAUGUGUCGUGCUUUGGUAGAAAAAUUGAGGAUUAUGGAGAUGCACAACUCAACUAGCUUGAGUGCCCUAGAGACGUCUUUAGUACCAGAUGUGCUUAUUCCCCCUAAAUUUAAGGAACUAGAAUUCGAAAAAUAUAAGGGCCUCAGUUGUCCUAAUAUCCACCUGAAGAGGUACUGUCGAAAGAUGGCCUCAUACACUAGGGACGACAAACGCAUGAUUCACUGUUUAUAGGACAUCCUGAUUGGAGCAUCUUUAGAAUGGUAUAUGCAGUUGGACCGCAACAAUGUGCGUACUUAGGUUGAGUUUGUCGAAGCUUUCGCUAAGCAAUAUAAGUACAAUACUGACUUAGCCCCAAAUCGAACUCAACUCCAAAGAAUGGCCCAGAAGGAUAAUGAAUCCUUUAAGGAAUACGCGCAACGUUGAAGGGAUUUGGUUGCAAGGGUGCAUCCACCACUGCUAGACCGAGAAUUGAUUGAUAUCUUCAUGAGUACUUUGCAUGGCUAAUACUAUGAAAGACUAAUCAACAAUGUGUCUGAAGGAGAAUUGUCAUCCAAAAUACAGCGGAAAUUAAAAUUUUCUCCUUUAGUGAUCCUUACGAAUGGGCAUGAUCAGUGAUAGAAAUCGGUACCUCUUGUGGCGAUUGAAACCUUUGAUGCAGAUCUAAGGAGUGAUCACAAACGUUGAAUGGUGACAACUGUAAGAACAAAAAUUGUGAUACAACAGAUUCCUUGAUUUUGAUGAUAACAAAGGAUGAAACCAAAAAUGGCACCCUAACGAAAAGUUUCUAAGUGUGCAGGACUCUGAUGACAUCAUCAGAUAGAGUACCAGAUCAGAAGUAUAUUAUCAAAUGAUCAGAAACUCUGAAGAAGAAACAAGUUCAAGAAAGUCAAACUCUGAACUAAACAACAAGUAUCAGAAGCAUCUUAACAGGAAGUAAGUCCUAGAACCUCUGACUCUGAACAACGCUUUCUGAAGAAUCUAUUUAGAUCAACAUCAGAAGCAAGAUUCCAAGGUUCUCCAGAAACACAAAUACUCUGAUUAUGGAUUUGCUAAUCAUGAAAGAGUAACGUUGAAGACAAGUAAAGAUUUUCAAAUGGAUUUCCUAAUUGAGAAAGAGACGUUAAUCUCCAAUCUCAAUAAAGAAAAUACUACUUGUGGUAAGUAGUCAUUUCAAGAAGAAAAAGUCAUCCUGCAUUAGCUAAUUAUGUGAUGGCGUAACUUCAUCUCAAUAUCCACCAGUUUCAACUACUACUUCAACUGAUCUAUAUAAAGGAUUGAAAAUCAAUUUUCAGCAACACACAUAUACGAGGAAAAAUCAUACUGAAACAUCAACAAGAAAAACACUCUUGCUCUCUAUCUUCACGAAGCUUUUGCUUAUUACGUGAAAAACUCUUGUUCUUAAUUUUGUAAUACUUGCUUUCUUAGAAGCACUCUAGUUUACAUAAAUCCUUCUUCUAUUGUUUGUUGAUUUCCUCAAGUGACUCUGUGUAGUCUGUAUACUUGAGAGGGCUAAGAGAUUUUGUAUCUUAGACGUUGUUUGUAAUCUUUCAAGAUUAGUGGAUUAAGUCCUUGUUGAAGGCGAAAUCACCUUGGCCGGGUGGACUGGAGUAGCUUUGUGUUAUAAGCGAACCAGUAUAAAAUCNNNNNNNNNNNNNNNNNNNNNNNNNNNNNNNNNNNNNNNNNNNNNNNNNNNNNNNNNNNNNNNNNNNNNNNNNNNNNNNNNNNNNNNNNNNNNNNNNNNNNNNNNNNNNNNNNNNNNNNNNNNNNNNNNNNNNNNNNNNNNNNNNNNNNNNNNNNNNNNNNNNNNNNNNNNNNNNNNNNNNNNNNNNNNNNNNNNNNNNNNNNNNNNNNNNNNNNNNNNNNNNNNNNNNNNNNNNNNNNNNNNNNNNNNNNNNNNNNNNNNNNNNNNNNNNNNNNNNNNNNNNNNNNNNNNNNNNNNNNNNNNNNNNNNNNNNNNNNNNNNNNNNNNNNNNNNNNNNNNNNNNNNNNNNNNNNNNNNNNNNNNNNNNNNNNNNNNNNNNNNNNNNNNNNNNNNNNNNNNNNNNNNNNNNNNNNNNNNNNNNNNNNNNNNNNNNNNNNNNNNNNNNNNNNNNNNNNNNNNNNNNNNNNNNNNNNNNNNNNNNNNNNNNNNNNNNNNNNNNNNNNNNNNNNNNNNNNNNNNNNNNNNNNNNNNNNNNNNNNNNNNNNNNNNNNNNNNNNNNNNNNNNNNNNNNNNNNNNNNNNNNNNNNNNNNNNNNNNNNNNNNNNNNNNNNNNNNNNNNNNNNNNNNNNNNNNNNNNNNNNNNNNNNNNNNNNNNNNNNNNNNNNNNNNNNNNNNNNNNNNNNNNNNNNNNNNNNNNNNNNNNNNNNNNNNNNNNNNNNNNNNNNNNNNNNNNNNNNNNNNNNNNNNNNNNNNNNNNNNNNNNNNNNNNNNNNNNNNNNNNNNNNNNNNNNNNNNNNNNNNNNNNNNNNNNNNNNNNNNNNNNNNNNNNNNNNNNNNNNNNNNNNNNNNNNNNNNNNNNNNNNNNNNNNNNNNNNNNNNNNNNNNNNNNNNNNNNNNNNNNNNNNNNNNNNNNNNNNNNNNNNNNNNNNNNNNNNNNNNNNNNNNNNNNNNNNNNNNNNNNNNNNNNNNNNNNNNNNNNNNNNNNNNNNNNNNNNNNNNNNNNNNNNNNNNNNNNNNNNNNNNNNNNNNNNNNNNNNNNNNNNNNNNNNNNNNNNNNNNNNNNNNNNNNNNNNNNNNNNNNNNNNNNNNNNNNNNNNNNNNNNNNNNNNNNNNNNNNNNNNNNNNNNNNNNNNNNNNNNNNNNNNNNNNNNNNNNNNNNNNNNNNNNNNNNNNNNNNNNNNNNNNNNNNNNNNNNNNNNNNNNNNNNNNNNNNNNNNNNNNNNNNNNNNNNNNNNNNNNNNNNNNNNNNNNNNNNNNNNNNNNNNNNNNNNNNNNNNNNNNNNNNNNNNNNNNNNNNNNNNNNNNNNNNNNNNNNNNNNNNNNNNNNNNNNNNNNNNNNNNNNNNNNNNNNNNNNNNNNNNNNNNNNNNNNNNNNNNNNNNNNNNNNNNNNNNNNNNNNNNNNNNNNNNNNNNNNNNNNNNNNNNNNNNNNNNNNNNNNNNNNNNNNNNNNNNNNNNNNNNNNNNNNNNNNNNNNNNNNNNNNNNNNNNNNNNNNNNNNNNNNNNNNNNNNNNNNNNNNNNNNNNNNNNNNNNNNNNNNNNNNNNNNNNNNNNNNNNNNNNNNNNNNNNNNNNNNNNNNNNNNNNNNNNNNNNNNNNNNNNNNNNNNNNNNNNNNNNNNNNNNNNNNNNNNNNNNNNNNNNNNNNNNNNNNNNNNNNNNNNNNNNNNNNNNNNNNNNNNNNNNNNNNNNNNNNNNNNNNNNNNNNNNNNNNNNNNNNNNNNNNNNNNNNNNNNNNNNNNNNNNNNNNNNNNNNNNNNNNNNNNNNNNNNNNNNNNNNNNNNNNNNNNNNNNNNNNNNNNNNNNNNNNNNNNNNNNNNNNNNNNNNNNNNNNNNNNNNNNNNNNNNNNNNNNNNNNNNNNNNNNNNNNNNNNNNNNNNNNNNNNNNNNNNNNNNNNNNNNNNNNNNNNNNNNNNNNNNNNNNNNNNNNNNNNNNNNNNNNNNNNNNNNNNNNNNNNNNNNNNNNNNNNNNNNNNNNNNNNNNNNNNNNNNNNNNNNNNNNNNNNNNNNNNNNNNNNNNNNNNNNNNNNNNNNNNNNNNNNNNNNNNNNNNNNNNNNNNNNNNNNNNNNNNNNNNNNNNNNNNNNNNNNNNNNNNNNNNNNNNNNNNNNNNNNNNNNNNNNNNNNNNNNNNNNNNNNNNNNNNNNNNNNNNNNNNNNNNNNNNNNNNNNNNNNNNNNNNNNNNNNNNNNNNNNNNNNNNNNNNNNNNNNNNNNNNNNNNNNNNNNNNNNNNNNNNNNNNNNNNNNNNNNNNNNNNNNNNNNNNNNNNNNNNNNNNNNNNNNNNNNNNNNNNNNNNNNNNNNNNNNNNNNNNNNNNNNNNNNNNNNNNNNNNNNNNNNNNNNNNNNNNNNNNNNNNNNNNNNNNNNNNNNNNNNNNNNNNNNNNNNNNNNNNNNNNNNNNNNNNNNNNNNNNNNNNNNNNNNNNNNNNNNNNNNNNNNNNNNNNNNNNNNNNNNGAAGAGAGGUUGGCCAGAGAAGCAGAAGAAGCAAAAAGGUUAGAAGAAGAACGACUUGCUAAAGAAGCUGAACUCCUAAGGCAAAAGGAAGCUGAAGCAAAGGCUCUGGCAGAUGCAGAAGCUCAAGCUGCUGCUGAAGCUGAAGCUCAGCAAGCUCUGACUCUGGGGGAGUCAUCUUCUGUGAUUCCUACGGUUCUUCAGACUCUGAAAGAACUCAAGCAAGAUCAGAAUGAACUCCGGGCCAGAAUGGACAAGCAAGAUACUGUCAACGAAAACAUCCAGAACAUGCUUGCUAUGCUGCUUCAGAGAAUGCCUCCGCCUCCGAACCCUUAGGCACUUAUGAGUUAUUUGUUUUUACUUGUCUAUUGUUUUUGCUUCUGUCUUCUUUUGACUCUGAUAUUUUUCUUGUUCUUUUGAACCUGAUGUUUUGUUUGUUGCCUUUGUGCUUCUAUCUAUGAAUUUCAAGUUUUUCUCUUUAAUUAUUUCUUCUUUACUUAUUUUUUUUUUACUUAUUUUUUUUUACUAUGUCUUUUUGAUUCUGACAAAAAGGGGGAGAAAGUAAUUAUUAGCUCUGAUGAAAAUAUUGUCUAAAACCAUCAAGCAUUCUGCAACAUUUUUUUUAUAAACAAAAUUAUCUAACUUGGAUUUAAGAAAUUGCAGAAAAUCUCAGAAACCUCUUUACUUAAGAAACUCUGGUAAGAACUUCAGAACCUCUGAACUCCCUAGUACUAUCUCAGGGGGAGCUUCUGUCUAUCUGAUCUAUUUUUAUUCAUGUUUCAUCUGCUAAUUAAAGUUGUUUUGUCAUCAUCAAAAAGGGGGAGAUUGUAAGAACAAAAAUUGUGAUACAACAGAUUCCUUGAUUUUGAUGAUAACAAAGGAUGAAACCAAAAAUGGCACCCUAACGAAAAGUUUCUAAGUGUGCAGGACUCUGAUGACAUCAUCAGAUAGAGUACCAGAUCAGAAGUAUAUUAUCAAAUGAUCAGAAGCUCUGAAGAAGAAACAAGUUCAAGAAAGUCAAACUCUGAACUAAACAACAAGUAUCAGAAGCAUCUUAACAGGAAGUAAGUCCUAGAACCUCUGACUCUGAACAACGCUUUCUGAAGAAUCUAUUUAGAUCAACAUCAGAAGCAAGAUUCCAAGGUUCUCCAGAAACACAAAUACUCUGAUUAUGGAUUUGCUAAUCAUGAAAGAGUAACGUUGAAGACAAGUAAAGAUUUUCAAAUGGAUUUCCUAAUUGAGAAAGAGACGUUAAUCUCCAAUCUCAAUAAAGAAAAUACUACUUGUGGUAAGUAGUCAUUUCAAGAAGAAAAAGUCAUCCUGCAUUAGCUAAUUAUGUGAUGGCGUAACUUCAUCUCAAUAUCCACCAGUUUCAACUACUACUUCAACUGAUCUAUAUAAAGGAUUGAAAAUCAAUUUUCAGCAACACACAUAUACGAGGAAAAAUCAUACUGAAACAUCAACAAGAAAAACACUCUUGCUCUCUAUCUUCACGAAGCUUUUGCUUAUUACGUGAAAAACUCUUGUUCUUAAUUUUGUAAUACUUGCUUUCUUAGAAGCACUCUAGUUUACAUAAAUCCUUCUUCUAUUGUUUGUUGAUUUCCUCAAGUGACUCUGUGUAGUCUGUAUACUUGAGAGGGCUAAGAGAUUUUGUAUCUUAGACGUUGUUUGUAAUCUUUCAAGAUUAGUGGAUUAAGUCCUUGUUGAAGGCGAAAUCACCUUGGCCGGGUGGACUGGAGUAGCUUUGUGUUAUAAGCGAACCAGUAUAAAAUCCUUGUGUGAUUUUCAUUUUGAAAAGCGCUUAUUUUUCCAAACAAUUCAAACCCCCCUUUCUUGUUUUUCUCACCUUCAACAACGCCUUUACUCAGUCCACAUGAACGGAUUCCUUCAAUCUCAGUGCUAGCUGCUACAAUGAAGGCUUUGAGUGAGUGAGAGUGAGAGAGUGAGAGAGAGAGAGAGAGAGAAAGAAAGAAACGAAAUUUCAUCUAAUCAAAUGCUUAUGCACAAGGGUUCUAUUUACAAAACCACUUGUGUGGGCUGCAAGCUAAAAAGCCCACUUAAGUGUAUGUGGCCUAUAUCUUAUGAUAUACCAAAUCACUUAAGCACAUGGUACCUUACCAUAUUUCUUAUUCUACUUAAGUGCACCGUACCUUACGAUGUUCUAUAAUUCACUUAAGUGCACCGUAUCUUACGGUGUUCCUUAUUUACUCUAUCUUUCAUCAAUCCUUCCUUUUGUGUGUGGCCCUGUAGGUUUUCGCGAUAUUGGCAAUUAUAUUAGAUCACAUAUUUAACAUAAUAAACAGGGAGCGGUAUCUAGAAACACAUCACUGCUACCCAAGACACGAAAAUGUCAUGUGAUCUGACAAAUCCUUUUGUGAUAAUACUUAUGUGUACAAUUACCCUUUUGCCCUUAUGUCUAUAUUGAACACAAUUCUAGAAACACAUCACUGCUACCCAAGACACGAAAAUGUCAUGUGAUCUGACAAAUCCUUUUGUGAUAAUACUUAUGUGUACAAUUACCCUUUUGCCCUUAUGUCUAUAUUGAACACAAGGCAUAUAUCGUGUCAUCCUUGUCCAGUUCAAUAUUGGGCCCUUAGACAUUCAUCCUGUUAUGCAGGAUGGGUAAAUUCCAUAUAGGUCACUCAUGUCCCUCAGCAUGCUUCGUGAAGUACCCAUCAACUGUCUUUAUGGUCAUCCAGUUAUGGACAUCGUUUGAUCAACAAUAAAGCACUCAACUCUACAUCUAGGGCCCAUAGUAGUUUCAAGUUGAAGGGUGGUAUAAACCACUAUCACCAUGAGAAUAAUAUAUGACACUUUGCAUAACAUUCUAUAUAGUAUUCUCAUAGCGGGUCAAUUCAGUAUAAAUAUUACUCCUAAUAUUCAUACCUAUGUUCAAGACUUGAUAACUCCUUAUCCAUGAUCCAUGAGAUGUUAUCAUCAGUCUAUAUACAUAAUAGUCUUAAUGCUUUAAUGUUAUCCCACUUCACAACAAAGCUCGACUACGAAUACUUUAAGAAUAAUGUCCUUAUGUUUAAUGGGAUCUCAUGAUUAUUAAGUCACACUUGAUACAUUAAACGGAAUAGCUAUUCUAGGGACUUUAUUAAACAAACAUAAUAAAGAAAAAAGCCUUUUAUUAUUAAUAAAUAAUUCGAUACAAGUAUCAAAAGUAUUGGCCUCUAGGACUUACACCAACAGUGUCGUCAGAUUUUGUCACAUGGUAAUUGUUGGUGAAAGGGUGGAGGAAGGUUUAAAAAGUGGUUAAAUUCAAGGAGGUUCCAGUACCUUACUUCUAAUACCCAUAUGUAGCAACUACAUAAUAUCCUGUUAUACCUUAUCGACAAGUUAUUUCGACUCUAGUUCCAGCUCAAAUUCCUCAGCACCAGGCUCCGCAACCUCAAUAUCAUUAAAGGAACCAACAAAAAAAAACAAUCAACAGCUCCAGGGUCAACAACAACCGAAUCUACAAAGGCCUUAUCGACCAUACAACGAUGCGGAUAUGACUCAUAUCCCCAUGAAGUAUACUAAAUUGUUGCCUUAUCUAAUCCAAAAUGGAACGGUUGUACCCAGAUGACCACCGCCAAUGCCAAAGCCUCACAAGCCUUGGUAUGAUGAUAAUGCUAGGUGUGCCUAUCAUGAUAACUCUGAAGGUCAUACAAUGGAAAAUUGACGCACUUUCAAGCUCAGAGUUCAGGAGUUGGUAGAUCAAAAGAUGUUGUCCUUUACUGAUAUGCCAAAUGUAGGGAACAAUCCUUUGCAUAGACAUGGUGGUCCAGGUGUCAAUGUUGUAGAAAUAUUUACUGAUGAAAGCUUGAUAAAGGAUGUGUUCGAAGUAAAAGCUCCAUUGGCAGUAGUUUACGCAAAGUUGGAUGAGGCAGAUUUGAUCAAAGGGGUGCACGACCAAUACAAGGUGUGUUUGUCUACACCAGAUCAAUGUGAUGAAUUCAAGACUUAUCUUCAAUGUUUGAUGGAACAACAUGUGAUCCAAUUUACCAAAACAAAUAAUGAUGAAAGUACUUAUGUGAUUAUGUCCAUAUUUGACAAAGAGAAACUUCCCAAGCCUUUGGUGAUUCCUUGUCAAAGGAAUACCAAUACAACACCAGUGAAGAAAAUUGAACCGAUGGUUAUCCAUGUUCCAUCUUCUUUCUCAUUUGAUAGUACCAAAGCAGUGCCUUGGAACUAUGAUGCCACAGUCUAUGUGGGCGAAAAACAAUGGUCCUGAAAGCGCCUGACAUGAUCAAUAUUUCUGGAACCAGUGGGAUAACACGAAGUGGAAAAAUAUUAUCUCCUGAAGUACUCAAGAACAAAACGAGUGAGACAAUGGUUGAACCACCCAAGGGGAAGGGGGUAGACCCUAUAGAGGCAGGAGAAAGCUCGUCUAAGAAGGAAAUAUUCGCAGAAGAUGAUAGAGAUUUCCUAAAGAUUAUCAAGAAGAGAGACUACAAUGUCGUAGAUCAGCUCAACAAAACUCCAUCAAGGAUCUCCAUCCUAUCUGUACUUAUGAGUUAUGAGGCUCAUAUGACUACUUUAUUGAAGUUCUUAAACGAGGCUUAUGUUACAGAAGACAUCAGUGUCAACCAUUUUUACAACAUGGUUACCAAUCUCAAUGCAGGAAGUUGCUUGAUGUUCACUAAUGAUAAUUACCCAAUAAGCGGGAACAUAACAAUAAUCUUAUUGCUACUGUGGCCUGACAUGCUGCUAUUGGUCAAGACUAAUAAUGAAUUUCAUAAAAUAAUCACUAAAGUCCUAACUGCUAUCAAUGUAGUCCAAGGGCACUACUAUCAUCAAUGGAGCUCAUAGGACAUUCAUUGUAAUCCAAACGAAAAGAGGUGCAUUGCUGCUUCCACCACAACUUAGAAGAGUAAUUGAAAUGAAGAGGCAAAUACUAAAAGAUAAUUUUGAAAUGAUGGAGAGGCAAAGACCAAUGGAUAAUUUUGAAAUGAUGGAUAAAUAAAAUGUAACAUCCCGAUAUUUUAAUAUACAAUACAUUUAUCUUUUUAAUAAAUUUAAUUAUUUAUUUACAAUAUUAUGUAUAAAGUGUUAUUAAUUAUAUAUAUAUAUAUGAUAUAUAUAUAUAGUAUAUAUAUAUAUAUAUAUAUAUAAUUAUUUAUUUUAUGAAUAUUAUUUUGAAAGGUGAAUAAUAUUGAGAUUAAUUUUAAUUUUAUAAUUAUCAAUAUUAUAUUUUUUUUAUAUUUUAAUUUUAAUAAUAAUAUUUUAAUUAAUAAUAAAGGAUGUGUAUAAUAUUUAGUUUUUGUAAAGAGUAGAAGUAAACGGGUGUGAAUUGUAAAUAAAUGGAUCAGCCUAUUUGUAUUUUAAUAAUUUAUUAAAUAUGAUAGAAAUUUUAUAUAAAUAUUAUUAAUAGUAGUAUUGUAUUAUAAAUAAAUGAAUAAAUAAGUGGAUCGGUAUGGUAAUUUAAUUUAAAGAGUAGAAGAAUGAAUUAGAGAGCAAACUAAAUAAAUAAUUAUAAAUAAAUAAAAUCGAUUUUUCUCAGAAAACAUGCUAAAUUUAGUUGUCAUCACAUCAACUAAUCAAAGAGAGCAAUUAUGUCUUCCAUAAUCAAAUUAGUUGUCGAAAUAUUCUCGUUUAUUCUAAAGUUUUAGUAUGUAAUUUCUUUCAAUUAAUUAGGUUAAAUAUUUUACAUCAUUUUUAUUUUUCAUUCAUUCUUUUAUCUCGUUAAAAUAUAAUUUUUCUCAUUGAUUAAAUGUCAUUGUUUUCGGUCUAUCUCGUUAUUGUAACUUCGAUUUAUGCAAAAUCACGCAAACACUUGUGUGAACAUUAUCGAUAUUCUAGCUCAAAGUUAGUUUCUGUUUUGGAGUAAGUUUUCUUUAUCUAAUUUAAAUAUGGGCAUUUUUAUUUGUUUUAAUUUUUAUUUGUAAAUUAUAAAACGAAACAAUUGAAGGAUGAAAGUCAAGAAAGGAAAAUUCUGCAUGUGAACUCGAAUGAUAAAGAUACAGAUUUUGUUCAUGGUGCGCUUUAAAUGAGUGGGAAAGAAAAAUGGCAAAUGUAUAAGGACUUCUUGAUCAUACAAUAUGAAUUAGGCUGAAAGUAAAGAAUCUUUAGGAUAUUGAUAUUCUUAUUUGAAUGGUUUAAGAAAAGAAAUAAAUUCUAAUAAUAAAUAAUAUUAUUUUAUAUUUAUCAUUUAUUUGUAUGUAACAAAAGAAUAUAUAUAUAUAUAUAUAUAUAUAUAUAUAUAUAUAUAAUAUAUAUAUAUAUAUAUAUAUAUAUAUAUUAUAUAUAUAUAAUAUAUAUAUAUAUAAUAUUAUAUAUAUAUAUAUACAUUUGUAUCUUAAUGACAUGACAUAUGCAUUCCCGAGCACUUAGUAAUUAUACAUAAUAUAAUAUCACAUCAUCAAGCACGUGACAAAAAAUCAAUAUUUUAAUAACAAAUGAUACUGUUGAUGUCAUUUAAGUUUACUUUUGCAUUUGAUUUAAGUUAGAAAAUCAAACAUUAAGUUAGUGUUUGUUUAGCUUUGGGAAUUUUAAUUGUUUUUAAUAUUUAUUUUGCAUUUUUGAAUUUGAGUUUGCUUUAAUUGCGCAUUUGAGUUUUGAGUUGAUCUAUAAAACCAGAAGUUAGUUGGAGUUUUGUAACAAAUUUGGACUUUUGCAUUUUGAGAUUAGAAAGUGUUACACAAUUCUCUGUCUCUUCUCUCUCUCUCUCUCUCUCUCUCUCUCUCUCCUCAAUUUUCUAUAAUUGUUCAUCAUCUUCUUCAUUCUUGUGCAUUGUUAAUGGAGGUUCAUUGUUGAACUCAGACAAUUGGUAUCUAAAGCUCGGGUUUGAUUCUUAGGGAAACACGAGUGUAAUGAGGUAUGUGAUUGAUUUCGGUUGUGAAAUUCGCGUUGAAUUGAAAUUCGAAAUUGGAAAGAAUCAUAGCUUGAUUCUCAAGGUUUGGGAAAUACGAGUGUCAAAACAAAGAUCAACGGACGAAACGUGACUUGAACACAAAGCUUCCAGGAUUCAACAAAAAGAACUGGAAUCGGUGGUCGAUUCAAAUGCGUGUGCUCUUUGGAGCUCAAGAUGUUCUUGAGCUCGUCAAUGAAGGUUACACGUCGAUUUCAGAAAAUGCAACAGAAGUGCGAAGAACUGCACAACGAUAAAUAAGGAAGGAGGAUUAGAAGGAUUUGUUCUAUAUCCAUCAUUAUGUGGAUACAAAGGUGUUUGAAGAAAUUGUUGAUUCGACGAAUGCGAUGGCGACGUGGGAUACACUAGUACAGUGCUAUGGUGGUGACACAUCAGUGAAGAAAGUAAAGUUGCAGUCCUUACGUAAUCAAUAUGAAAAUGUUAGCCUGAAAAACAAUGAGAAGGUGCCCGAUUAUAUUUUCAGAGUGAUUGUGGUCACGAAUGAGAUAAAGUCUUGUGGAGAAAUGCUCUCUGAACAAGUAAUCAUUAAAAAGGUAUUGAGAUCUCUUACUCCUCAGUUUAAUUACAUAAUUGCAGCCAAAGAACACCGAUGACUUCUCGGUAAGUGUACCGAUAGUGUCGCAGUAAUAAAAAGAGUAUCAAACCCACAAGGACCGCUAUUUAACAUGUACAAGUAUUAAAAUUAAGAAUGGGGGGGGNNNNNNNNGGGGGGGGGGGGGGGGGGGGUCAAGUUUGCAGUUGAAUUUAGAGAAAGUAGUCAGGUUUUGCCUAGAAUCCCCUAUUUCUCCCCUGUUGAUGUCUAAUUCAUUACAUAAAUCAAGCAUCAUUAUAUUUCCACGGCGAGUUAACAAGACCACUAUACUCAAUCUCUUGGUGUAUAUCUCACUGAUUCCUACUAGAGGUCUCAUAUCCCUAUUCAACCGACAUAAGUGAAAUCAAACGAUGAUAUAGUAGUAAAAUCAUACGAUGAUACAAUACGUUAACUCUAAGGCCACUACUCGAGGUGUCAUAUCCCUAUUCAAUCACAUAAGUAUGAUAAUUGACCCUAAAGGGAUUUCGAAGACUAUCCUCAAAGAUACACUUGUACUAGCCUCGAUCAGACUUACUUCGAAACUAGUGUUGGAUAAAGGAUUAGAUUUCUUGAUAUCUUCUCCCAUAUUUCCAUUCACGAUUAGCGUGGGUAGAGUCUAGUAUUUCUUCCUUGUUAUACUAUCUCCAAAUGAAUUGGUGGAUCUGGGUGUUUAACUUGCUACACUGGGCCUAAUAAAGACGUCUCAAACAAUGUUCAUACCCGAAAUUACCAAAUAUUUGUUAUUUCGCGAGGGCAAGCUAUCAAAUUAUCAAAGGCUAAUGGAUUAAUAUUUCCAUCAUAGGUAUUUAGAUCGGACUGAUGGAAUUUUGAUUUCUCGAACGCGAGGGUCGGAAGUUGUCAUGGGAAGUCCAUCAUCUAUGAGGUAUCUAAUAAUCGUUUUCCCAAUGAUAGAGACGGUGAAAACUAGCAGAAACCCCACACUUGAGGCUCUCUAUGUCUUCUCGCUUGUCAAACAUAUUAGUGCAACUUGAUAUUCGUUUCACAGUUUAGUAUCAGUUGCCAUUUAAAAGAGGCGCUCCAAUGACAGAUAGUUGCCCAAUUUCGCGGUGUUGCAGAUCUCAAUGGUGACGAUUAAAUAUGAUGAAGUAAAAUCAGAGUAUCCAACUAAUCUUCUUAUUAAAAUAUGUUGGUUGGUCUUCCCUUUUCUCUAUUUCGAUAGAGAUGACUUUAAAUCGAGAAGAAUAUUCUUGUGGAUUUUCUCAAGAAUAAGGAGUCAAUUUCCAUAGACUAUGUCAUUGUUCUAUUCCAGAACCAAAAUAUAUGUAUCUUAAUGGUGAGGAAUCAUGAAUUGAUGAUGUUAGUCUCUAAUACGAUAACGUGAGGUGGACCGACAAAGUUAACACUCCAACAUCUAACUCUGUUAAAAAUUCAAGAUUGAUGUAGUAAAACAAAUGAGAUCAUAAAGUGUAUCUUCAAUAUCAUGUAAGAUAACUUUUAUAUAUUGAGUCGUUUUGAGUAGAUUGGUAUUGGAUUGAGCCUUUUUUGGGCAUUUGCCCUGCCCAGAACAUAAUCUAAUUUAAUAACAAAAAUAAAUUCUAAAAAAAAUCCUUAAAUCAAAGUCAUAUAUAAUAUCCUAUGUUAAAUGCUAAACAAAAGCUUAAACAAAAAUAUAAUUUAUGUUUCUUGGACAAAAAAAAUCCUAAAAAAAAUAAAUUAAAGGGUCAAAUAUGUUUGUGGUCCUCCUAAAUAUCUCAUAUUUCACUUUUAGUCCUUCAAAAAAAUUCCUUCAAAGAAUAAUCCCGGUCCCUCUUGCUAAAACUGUCUCUAAAAUCAUCGCUAAUUCAGCCUCUAAGUAGUAAACCGUCGCUAAAACUAUCGAUAAGUUGUAAAAAUUAUCACUAAGUUGUAGAAAGGACCAAAAAUGUUAAUGAAAAAUUUUAGGAUGAUCAUUCUUUAAAGAAUUUUUUUGAGGGAUUAAAAGUGAAAUAUGAGAUAUUUAUAAGGACCACAAACAUCCCUGAAUUAAAUUUUAGACAUAAUUAAAAAUUUUCUUGUUGAAAUAAUACUACAAUCUCUGAGUGUGAUUCCCCCAAUCGGCUUCCUCAUAUGCAUUAAUCCUAAAAUCUAACCUCUCUGCAGAUAGUCGUGAAUUCUUUUCACUAAGGGUGCAACUUUCUCUCCUGACACUAGGUGUACCGUCCUCUACUACACCAUGAAAUUCAAGUUAAUUUUGGAAAUUCAAGAUAAUCUUAGAAAUGCAAAUUGACUUUGGAAAUGCAAAUUGAUUUUUGAUAAACCAAAUUAAUUUUGAAAUUCAAAUCAAUUUUUAGAAACAAUUUUUUUUACUAAUGGGCCAUGAAUAGUCAUUCGAGAGUUGGCCCACUUAUCCUUUUUUUUUUGUUACAGCACUAAUAUACAUUAUUAAACCCAAGUAAGUUCAGCCCACAAUUCCAUGCUGCCACCAAUACCACAUUCUGUCAAACAUUCUCCAAUUAACCAAACAACUGAACUAACUGACCACUAAACAAGUUAACAUGCUGACUCAACUCAUCUAAUUGGCCUAACCAGUAACAAACUGAUGACGGUUCAAUCAACAAUCCAACAAGUCAAGACAAGACUGUUUCAUUCAAUUCUCCCACUGCAGCUAACAAGGCAACAGUUAGUCAACAAUUAACAAAGCCAUCUCAUUAACUAUCUUCCAUAACUCAUUUCACUAACAGAAAAACAAAUUUUGCUAACUAACAUGAUUCACCUUUUCAAUUAAAGACCAAAUCAAUUCCACCUUAUGACCAUCCAAGCUCUUCAACUUAGUUCCUAUUCGCAGAACCGAAAACGAAUAAUCCCACAACUCCAUUCCAAGCCAUCCCAAAGCUAACGUAAUCCCGACCUGGAAAAUCAAUACGACGUUCAUAAUAUGGUUUUAAGCAUUAACCAUGAUGAAACUAGCCUAAUCACUUGACCAAUUUCCAGCUACCUUCAGUUCACGAACUACACCCGACAACGCGGUUAACCUCACUUUUGAGCGGACCUGCAGUCACGCCAUUCGCACCAAGUUGGAAGCAAGGAGGUGAGGUGAAUCUCGUCCAGACGCACACCAGACGACACGUUUGCAGCAGUUAACAACCAAAACAGACGUGCAGCCAAUUUCCAUCAACCUGCAGAAGUUGGAACUCCAACACCGGUAUGUUGUGGUGCCACAAACGGCCAACCAAAACGCGUAAACGCGAUGCGAACGUACCAGUAAUCAAGCCUGCAUAAUAACAACCACACUUCAGUUAAUCGAACUCACUAACAUAACUCAUUUUUAACCCAACAACUAACCCAACAAAAUCCAUUAACAUGAGUUCAUAACAGUAAAUGUGCAACCUUUCAAAUUAAGCUUCAAUCUAAAGCCAUCCAAGCAUUCACGAGAUGUCCGAAGCCGCAACCAAAACUGCAAAGCCAUAACCCAAAACGGCACCGCCAAAACUACGAGCAGUGAGAUCUAUCACACCGAUUGGAAACAAAAGGAUGGUAACCAGAAGAAUCCGCAGGCCAUUCGCAAUAACCAACUUUCCAAAGCUCCUAACAGUCAUAAAAGAAAUGAGCCAAAACAGAUUCAACUAAUAACCAUUAACAGGUAGCGGCGCACGAUUUUAAUGAAGCUUCAAUUGAACAAUGGAAAAGUGGCCUAGCAAGGUAACUAACGGGUUUUCAGUUGACUGUACCUCAGAAUAACCUAGCAGCACGAACACAUUAACUCCCAUAUCCAUUGAAACCAAUACAAACCAAAGGAACCUAUUGCGCUAUGGCUUGUAAGGUGAUGACAGAAAUAUCCAGCUGAAUUGAACCUUACAGAACCUUGCAACAUACCUGCGAUGGAACCAAUACACGGUCAGCGUGUAAUCCAACAUUAAUAAUUAAUUUAGAAUCAAUUAACGGUAACCUGACUCAUUAGUUUCGUAUUAACGAAUAGCUAACAGGAUGUUCAUAAAAUUAACUCAGUUAGCAUGUGUCCCAACUUAACUGUAACAACAAAGCCAACAUUACGAUCAGCUCAAUACAAUUAACAGGGAAAAGUAGAAUGACAACAUUUUACCGUUUAACAGAAAACUGAACAUUCCAUUUAAAAACCAAAUUCUCUCAAUUCUAACCAAUUGUCAAAAAAAAAAACUGAUUUUCCUCUACCUAAAAACAGAUAAUUUUCCAAAGCUCCCUCUAACCGUCUAACCGAACUAACUAACUAACAGUUUUUUCAUUUCCAACUGACAGAAAUAUUUCAAUGUGAAUUUGAGUUUCAUUUUGCUCUUCAUCUUACUAUUUGUGUAUUUAUUGUUGUGUGAUUCUAAAGUCCAAGGGAAAUUUGGAUUUCUAUAUGACAUUCUUUUCUAUUGGAUUGCAGCCUAUUGGUCAUAUCUUUUCAACUCUCAAUUUUUAAAUUUUAUGCUUAAGAUUAGUCUAUUCAUCUCCUCCCCACUUCUUUAAUUUCAAAAUAUCUCCCUCCUUUUAAAAGUCUUCUUUGCUUGUGUUCGUUGAUUUCUAAACUUUGACCACUUUUUGCAAACUAGAAACUUUAAUCUUAUGUCAUUGCAUUUUCAAACUCAUUUUCUUAAUCAAAGUUGUAAAUGAACUUAACUAUACUUGACUUAAAAUUUCAAAAGUCAGAAAGAACUAACACUUAUUCAAACCAUUUUUAGACCUUUGUGCCUUUCAAACUUAAAUUUUUGUUAAAAGUAAUGCAUUCACUUUGAAAUUGAUACCACGAACUACGAGGUUUUGAUCCCUCAUUUUUAUGUUGGUAACGUAGACACAAGUCCGAAGAUCUUGUCAAACACAAAAAUAUAAUUAAUGAAUUCUUUUCUCAUCCCCGCACUCUUUUUAUUUGCAAACAUCAUUUGUACAAAAACACAUAUGCGCACAAGAAAUGGCUUCCUAGGAGUACCAAGGAUAUUUUGGGUGCUAACACCUUCCCUAUGUGUAACCAACCCUCUUACCUGUAAUCUCUGACAUUUUAUUAGUUUUGAUUUGAAAACUACUUAUUCUUGGGUUUUGUUCGUACUUUUCCCUUCUCUCUAGGAAACAAUAAAAGCGCAGUGGCGACUCUUGUUUAAUUGAUGUCUAGCUUAUUCAUAGCUUGAUGAUCAUGAAUUUACCACUACAAAAAUUAAAUGGCGACUCUGCUAGGGAGUAGUCUCCAGUGGGUUUAGCCUACUUUUUGUGUGUAUAUAAUUGUAUAUUUGAUGUAUGUAUAUUUGUUUGUGUGAUAUAAUCUGCUUGUUGUGCUUGGUGGUCUCUAAGUGGUGAGAUAAGUUCUAACCCGAACUUGAGUGCAAUUAAGAUAAGAGAAUGGUAUAAUCAUGUUCGACUUGUGUGGAGUAGUCCUUAACAAGUUGGCUUGAGACCCAUAUACUCAGUGGAGACCCUUUUGGAUUUGGGAAUGUCACACAAGUAUUUGUGGUUAGGCAUUACUAUCUCUAAUUUGGGGUCCGAGAAGCUGAGGACCAUAGAACAUUUAACCCCUCUUGGCCUAUUUAGGACGUAGUGCGGAAACUGUUCAAGUGUAGACUUGAUAACAGUUGUUACGCGAUACUACACUCAGACGAGUUUCUCUUGAGAAUAUUAUGGGUUGAUGAGUCAGUCAUCCUAACCUGUAAUAUCCGAUAGAUGGAAUUAAGACUCUGGGAACUUUUAACAUGAUCUACAGGUUUUUAUCCUUAGUUCACUCCUUUGGAUGAUUCUUACCCAGCACUACAUGCUCAUGACUCACAACAAACCCUUGAUUCUUGUUGAUUCAAUCGUAUUUGUCAAUAUCCAAUGGAACUUGGGUGUUGAUAAGGUGUAAACCAUAAUCCACCAAAAUGGAUGAUUGAUCUUGACAAUGACUUGAUUCAUCCCUUGACCUUUGUUUGUUUGCCUUGUGUGUGAUCCCUUAUUCGUGAUUGUUGCAUUCAUGCGCAUCAUGACAUUCAUCACACGAAAAUUUCAAGGAACUGAGGUGUUAUUUGCAAAUAUUUUCAUACCAUGGAUUAUGGAUGAAGGAACACUAAGAAGUACAGUUUCAGAUGUCCCGGCUUGAAAGAGUUAAGGAAGCUAGCAUAUUUUGUAUUAGAUCCCUUGGACUUCAAACAACGCCAUGGGAAACUUCUUUCUAUCUUGUCUGCUGAUGUGGUUGAAGGACUUCUGAGUGUAUUGGUUCAGUUCUAUGACCCUCUCUACAAUUGCUUCACUUUUCUUGAUUAUCAGCUUGUGCCUACGUUGGAGGAGUACGCCCAUCUCUUGGGGAUACCUGUUUCUAACAAAGUGCCUUUUAGUGGAUUGAAAGAGAUUCCCAGAUCUCAUUGUAUAGUUGAAGCUCUUCACUUGAAGAAAUCUGAGAUAGAGGCUCAUUGGAUGAAGAAAGGAGGAUUGUUUGGGUUGCCUUCUGAUUUCCUUAUCAAGGAAGCUACUGCCUUUGCUCAAGCUGGUAGUGUGGACGCUUUUGAAGCUAUCUUUGUGUUGCUCAUCUAUGGACUAGCUUUGUUCCCUAACAUCGACGGUUUUGUUGAUGUUAAUGUCAUUAGAGUUUUCUUGAUUGGGAAUCAUAUGCCUACUCUAUUAGGUGAUAUAUACUUCUCUUUGCAUCUAAGGAAUUCUAAAGGUGGUGGAACGAUUGUCUGUUGUAUUCCUCUUCUGUACAAAUGGUUUAUUUCGCACUUGCCUCAGACACAUGCUUUUGUGGAGAAUAAACAAUGUCUACGGUGGUCUCAGAGACUUAUGUCUCUCACUAAUAAUGAUAUAGUUUGGUAUGAUCCUUCUUUGAGCAGUUUGGAGGUUUUUGAUUAUUGUGGUGAAUUCUCUAAUGUGUCUCUCAUUGGUACACAAGGAGGAAUUAACUACAACCCUGCUUUGCCUCGUCGUCAACUUGGGUUCCGCUUGAGAGACAAACCAAAUAACACCUUGUUAGAAGGUCUUUUCUAUCAAGAGGGUAAAGAUCCCCAACAUUUGAAGCAGAAGAUUGUGCAUGCUUGGCAUAAUAUGCAUAGGAAAAGAAGAUCCGAUCUUGGUCCACGCAAUUGUGUAGCUUUGGAAGCUUACACUCUUUGGGUGAAGAAAAGAGCUUUGGAGUUGAAGAUGCAUUAUCCUUGUGAAAGACAUAUGUCUAUGGUUGUGGUUAAGCCUUUAACUUUCCCCAACCAAGAUGUAGAGGAGUUGGAAGACGCACUCACCAAGAUGAAACAAGAUAAGGAUAUAUGGGAAGAGCGUUUCCAUCCUUUGAGCAGAAAGCAUGAGGAGUUGCAGCUUGAGUCUAAGGACAAAGAUGCACUCAUUGAGCUACUUGAAGACCGAGUGAAAAAGAGAUAGAGAGAGUCGGAGGUUUCAUCUUCCUCUAGUAUGCCUUAGCCUUCCGUCGCUUGGAAGAAGAUUGUUGAUUAGCUUGUCCUCGAGAAGACUCAGAUGAAGGCUUCUUUUGAGACUGAGAUCCGACGCAUUCGAAGGAAGUACGCGCCUACAGCCAAAUCUUUUGACAUUGUUGUUAGGGAUCCUUAGGAUGAUUAGUCUUCUUUUCUCUUGUAUUUUUCAUUUGGUUUCUGAAAUUGUACUCAGUGUAAUCCUUCCAAUUAUAUAAAUAAAAGAGAUUUUUAUGGUUAUAUCAAAUUGUUGCAAUUAUUGUUAUAUAUAUAUAUAUAUAUAUAUAUAUAUANUUUAAUGAACGACUGUUUAGAUCGCGUUCUAAAGACUAAACAUUGGCUUGUCUACUCUCGGCGGAGGCUUAAGCACUAGUUUGUUGUGCGCGUUAGAAAGGAUUAAAUAGUGUUCUUUUUACAGAGAGUUUUGGUCACACGAGGGUGACAAGUUGGAUUAAUAUGUUAGAUAUUUUGAUUGGUUGAUAUGUUUUUGGUUGGAUGACGAUUACUCGGAUAGUCGAGUAAGACAACUCGUAUCCUAAUAGUCGGGAAAGGGAGUAGAAGACUCUAGACCACUUUCUUUUUCAUCCUCAAUUAUGGAAAAGAUUUAAUAAUAAUUAAAGUGUCUUGAACGGAUGACGAAUACUCGGAUAAUCGAGUAAGACAACUCGUAUCCUAAUAAUCGGGAAAAGGAAUAGAAGACUCUAGACCGUUUUCUGUUUCAUCUAAAUAUUUAUGAAAACUAGAUUAUAUAAGGUUGACGUAUUUUAGCGUGAACGACAAAUACUUGAACGACUGAGUAAGACAACUCAUAUAUCCAAGCAUUUGAGAAGAGGAAUUGAAGACUCAAGACCAUCUCCCUUUUCGUAUAGUUCGUUAUGAAAAUGAUUUGAUUAAGCAUGAGUUGGUAAAAAAUGACAAUUGUUCGACUGACCGAGUAAGAGAACUUGUGUUCAAACAACUGAGGAGUGAAAUUGAAAACUCAAAGUCAACUCCCUUUUCAUUUAGCUUAUUGUGAAAAUAUUUCGAUUUAAUCGGAGUUUGGAAGUUGGUAUAGGAACGACAAUUUUUGGCUAACCAAGUAAGAGAAAUUGUAUUCAAAUAGUCGAGGUGAAAAAUUGAAGACUCAAAGUCAUCUCCCUUUUCGUUUUGUUAUUAUAAAAGGAUUUGAUUUGUUUGUACUUAAAUGAAUUAGAAAUGACGACCAUUUGACUAACCAAGUAAGAAAACUCGUAUUCAAAUAAUCGAGGAGAGGAGUUGAAAACUCAAAACCACCCCCCUUUUCAUUUUCAAAUGAAGAGUUGUUUAGAUGUGAUUAAGUAUUUUAAUUUAACUUUCGAUGUCGGAUCGAGGUUUUAAAAUUUGCAUUCUUGUGAAUGAAUUGAAUUUAUUUGGUGAAUAAUCCAUUUAAUCGAUUAAUUAAAACUGAAUAGGUCUCAUUGUAAGAAAGCCCAAGAGUAAGCCAUGUGAGGUUGAUGGCGAUGCUUUUUCAAGCGAUCAACUUACAAAGGCAUUUAAAAUGGGCUCGACUUUGAAUCGAGGAUUGUACGAUUUUGAUGGUUUGGAAAAAAGUAUCAUUUGACGUUGAAUCAAGGGUUUGCUUAUUGAUUGCGAAAGAGUGAGUGUUCCUAAUGCCUAAGGAAGAGCUAUCAAGCAAUAAAAGAUAAGAAAGCGAGUAAAAGCAUACAUCUGAAAGGGGAUGGGGGCACAUGUAAAAUACAAGGGAGUGCGGAAAAUAAAGUCAAUCGAAUGGAAAUUAAUCCUAAGAUAUAAACAAGUCCUAGAACUAGGGGAGCAUGCAAGAUUGAACUAGUUCUAAGUCUAUGGGUAAAACAUCCAUUUCAUAAUUAUGGUUUAAUCGAAUUAAAUUUCUAAUUAUAAAGAUCCUAAUUAAAAUUAAUUCUAAAUCUAUGGUAAAACAUCCAUUUCAUAAUUAUGGUUUAAUCGAAUUAAAUUUCUAAUUAUAAAGAUCCUAAUUAAAAUUAAUUCUAAAUCUAAAACCUCAUCCAAAUUUCUAACUAAAGCUAAUAUUUCUAAUUUUAUUUCUAAGAAUAUUUCUAAUAUUUUCUAAUUAACUUUAAAAUUCUAAAACUAUUAUUUAAUUCUAAUUUUUUUAUUCUAACCCAAACAUUUUUCUAAUUAGGAUUUUAAUAUUUCUAACCUAACAUUUCUAAUUACUUUAUUUAAUUUCUAAAUGAUCUAUUAAGUCAUAGUUAAGCUAAUUGAUCAAAUAAUUGAUCAAUGCUAUUUCUAAAGACCAAUUAACAAACAAUAAUUAAAGAAAGAGGUAAAUGUGGGCCUUGUACACGCGCGCUAAGCCCAGUUAGAGAUGAGGGACUCUGCCAUGUGAGUGUGUAUGAAGUUAGAACUCACUUUGGUGAAGUCAGAAUUCCUCACCUGUUCAGCGAGUUGCUAGGAGAAAAAAAAAC